rnacentral:lncRNA from 1 species
AAAUUCAAAUGGUACCAUUGUCGAUUAUCUAAAGCAAUUCGGUGAUCUCGUCUUUGCCUCAAUUUCAACAUCAGUAACACAAGGAUUGUACAAGCAGACACAUUCUCUAAAUGCCACAGUUCCAACAACAAGAUCAACAACAGAUUUCUUCCAUCCAUAUCUAAAAGUAAAAAAAUUGAAUCAACCAACAAUUCACAAGAAUGACAAAUUUAUAAAUACAAGACAGGGAACAAUUCACCACGAUCAAUCUCUUUGUUUUUUUGCUUAAGACGAUUGACUAUGGAUCGAAUAGAGAAAAACUGAUUAUCAAAGAGAGAGAGGAAGAAAUAGAUGGACGUACCUGCUGACGAAUCCGGGAAGAAGAUGGCGGCAAGCUUGGCCUUGGAGGUGUCGACGGCCUCGUGGUCGGGGCGGGGGCGUUGAGGACGGAGCGGAUCUGGGAGACGUCAGAGACGGCGCGGGUCAGAGAGGAGGUGAAGAAUGGAAUCGUCUAUGAAAUCAGAGAGGAGAAAAGUUGUGGAGCAGAGAUUCUUUUCGGGGUGGAAGUGGAACAGAGGAGGUGAAGAAGAAGAGAGAAGAGUUGUGGAGGAGGCGAUGCGAACUGAGAGAGGUUAGUGAGGUCUUAGCUAAGGGCCUCUAAUCGGAAUACCCACGCUAAGCCCUGCUAAGGAGGCGAAAUCAGAAAACAGGUCCAAGUUAAGCCCAUUAAUAUUAGUACCGAGAGAGACCAAACAUGGGAUUAGCCUUGUUUCACUCCUUAUUUAACACUGGCUUAGAUAAUACCGGGUACCAAACGUACCCAGAAAGUACAGUGUAAGGCUCAUAUUAACCAUAUGCUAUCGAUACAUAGUGGCUGAUAAUAAAUCAUUUUAUAAGAAUAAAUAAGAGGAGCUAGUUUCACAACUGACAACAGAAAACCUAAAGGUAUGUUUCAUUAACAUGGUAUAACUAUGAACCAAUUAAUAGAGUUGAAACAUAAACCUUCACCAAGUUUUUCACAUGUCCGUCCCUUUGGAAAUUAAGUAAAGGCUAGACGAAGGAAUGUCAAUAAAGAGAGGCAUAACAUUGAAAGAGUGAACUUUACUGAAAAAUAGUAUUUCUUAUUUAAGAACACUAAAACCAGCAGUAGAAGCAGGUUUGAUAAUGAAGGUGUGUGGUUAUGAACCAAAUGACACUAGUUGUUUCACAACUCAAGAAGACAGCAAAGAGAGGAACACUUAAAUAUCUAACCCACUAACGUCGAGACACACACACACAGACAUAUAAAUCAAUCACAAAAUCAAUACAAGGAAACUCAUUGAUCAAUAACCCAAUCAAACAAAGAAAAGACGAGGGUAACACGAAUCACUGAAAUUAUAAACACGUCUACUUGGUAAUAAACCCAAUAAUGUACCUGAAACUGUUUGUUCAACAAACCCAUUAAAGCCAAUAAUGAUACUGAGACCAUGGAAAACAAGUGAGACUCUUUGUUCAUCAAAACAAGCAAACAACAUAGACAAUGUGACAUGAACCGCUACAGGUACAAGCAAACAAAAUAAAGACCCAUUUAUAUAUACACUGCAAAAUGGAUUCAAUGAAAAUUUUCAUGAAACAAACCAACCAUUCAAUAUAUUACAGCAAAUAAAUAGCCAAGAGACCCAAUCACUGAAAAUAAAGAGCACUGAAAGCCUAAUAUCCAAUCAAAAAAUUUGGGGAUUUAGGAUUUUGGCCAUCCCCUGAAAUUCUUUGAAGCCCUAAAACUAAUGAAACAAAGUGAUCCUCACCUAGUAAUCGCAGUUAUAUCAUGCAGAGGGGUUCUUGGGUACCAAGAAGGCAACACGCUGUUCGAUCUCUGUCCCCUUCUCCGGCUAAGACGUCCACGUCCACGUCCACGCUCGAUUCCGGUUCCCGGAGUCCUCAAACUGCUCGGUGCCACUCCACCGCCUGUCCCCCAAAUCCCUAGGGGCCGCUGGGUCACCGAAGUUGCCGCCGCCCGCUCCGCCUCUGAGCGAAGGCCUCGGCGAUGUCGAACGGCCUCACCAAUCGGAAUCGCGUCUCAGCCGGCAUGUUGAUCGAUCUGAAAACGGGAAAAUCAAACCAAGAUUAGCACUCAAAUUUCAAAGAAAAGAACAUUCCCGAUCAAAACUAGGGUUAACUCAAACCGCCGGAGACAAAAACCGUCACCGAAAAAUUGAAAACUGAACGGCGACUCAGACCGAUCUGAGCGAAGAAGAAGCAAAUAUUUGAUUUACCUGAAUUAGUGUUAGGAUCUGAGACCUAACGCGAGAGAAAGGAGAGAAGGGAAGAAGAGAAUUGGGGAAGAAGAAACUAAAUUGCAUUCAUAAAACAACUAAUUAUGCUUAAUUAACACAAGAGGGUUUGGUGGUGCCUCGAAUUCGAAGAGAAGGGGAGGAAGGAGAAAAGGAGAGCUCCAUGUUGAAAGGACCACGACACACACUUGGAUAGGCCUUUUAAACAGACGGUGUCGUUUGGACGAAACAAAAAAGAAGAUAGAAAGAUUGGUGAUGCGGGGGAUCGAACCCCUUACCUCUCCCACACAUUUUUUUACUCCUAUGAUGUUGUUUUUUUUUUUUUUUUAAGAGGACCACAUCAUUGUGAACCAACUACACAGAGGAAUCAAAAUUUUCAAAAAUCUUGUAAAAUAGGAUAUGAUCGGAAUAGUGAAAUACAACUAAUGUUUUAAAAAAACACAAACUUCCGGUAAUGUCUGGACCCCGAUAAACGCGGUCAACCCUAAUUACAUUUAGACACUCCUACGGAGAGCCUAACCACCGGAGGGUCAAUUUAACAAAAAAAAAUUCAUGGGGUUCCUAAAGCUCAGCUUUAGGUUCGAAAAAGGAGAAAAAUAGGGUUUCGCACGAUGCCGGUCAACCGCGUUUUAGGUAAAAAAUGAUGUUGAAUUAAGGUUGACCGAUUCGAUGGGGAACGUAACAAAUGGUUGAUUUUUUUCAAUAGACCUAUUUAAUUAGCAUUAUUACAUCAGACGGUGGAAUUUUUAUUUUACAUAUUUAUGACCUCGGAUCGCCUCGUGUCUACUAAAGCGAUACAACUUGUUUAAUAUGUUACUAGAAAGGCCUCGCUCGCGUAUGCGCUUGUUUGUUUUUGUUAAAUAUAUUAACCAUGUACAUAAUCUUCACUCUUUAACUAUGUUGUGCUUUAAAUGUCGUUUAGGAGUGUGUUAUUUGUAAUUGUUACUGCAUGCAAACAUUAGUGAAAAAAAAAAAAAAAAUUACACUCGAGGCCUUUGUGUCUCAUCCUUUGAAGCCAUGUAUCAAAUCAUGCAUUCAACAUAGAUUUGUCCAUGAGAACUUGUACAUCAAAUAGUGGACAAUGGUCAUCAGUCAUCACUACCUUGUAAUACUCUUUUUUGUACGUCCUCCCCUUUAAAAGAAGUAGUUUCUGGUGUUGCUUAUAGGCUUCCAUAUAUGAGAGAGCGGAGAGCUGAAAUAUAAACAUGAUGAUUAUUUGAGUGAAAGCCUACCCAAAAAAAAAAAAAAGGAAUUGGAAAAUCUUCCACAUCCAUGAAAUGGAUCCCAUUACCCAAUGAAAACAAAGACCGGUGAUAUCAAUAAUAGGUAAGAAGUAUCCAAAUAAAAGAGAAUUUAAAAAAAUAAAUAAAUAAAAACUCAAUGUCAAAUUUUGACAAACUCUAAGUAUAUUAUAGAUCACUUCCUUCUUAACAGUUUUUCAUUACGGGGUUGUUGUUUUUUUCUUCUUGUUCAUUCUCCCUGUUUUAUUAUUAAGAAAAAACAUUUAGUUUUCAAAAAACAUUAAGCAGAUACAAAAACAAAGACACAAAACUGAACGAUACAUCCUUAAUCCAAACUUAGACGUUUCAAUUCAUUGAAGCUUCUAUGAACCUUUAACUUCCCGUUGAUGUCAUGAUUUCACACAUUUCUAAUGAGACACUUUGAUUUUCCUUCUUAUCUUCUUCAACUCCAUCUUUCUUUUUAGAAUUUUAGCAACCUGCAGUUUUAGAACGUGAAGAAAUGAGGUGAUUUGAGUUUCUUUUUAUGUGUGCGGCUAGGUCUCCCCUCUUCCAAAUGAGGUGAUGCGUGUGUGGCUGGAGACUUGAGGAUAGAAUGAAUGAUGUGGCAUCUUGUGAUUGGUUGAAGAGGGAAAAUGAAGUGAUGCUGGUGUGCACGUGAUGGUCUCCUUCCCAUUUUGCAUAAUUAAACAACUCAUUGAUUAAUUUGUAAUACUGCACGUUUUGGGUGGGAGAAGUUAAUUAAGCUUUAAGCUUAAUUAGUUAGUUAACUAAUCAAGCUUAAUUGUUUAACUAAGAUAACUACCAUCUCGUCUUUUUGCAGAAAACUCUUCUUCGCUCCAAUUUCAAGUCAUUUCUCUCAUUUCCGUAACUUCCGUAUAUUUUCUACAAAAUAAAUAAAAAUGGAUUAAUUACAUUAUGAUUACUAUGAGAAUUAGCUAACUCAUAGUGUUUAAGUAGUAAUUAAGUGUAUAAAAAUACACGUAAUUAAACCCCCACACUUGAACUUUGUUUGUCCUCAAACAAAUUAAAUAAAACAUAAACCGAAAACUACUAACUUAAACACACAAAUGCAAAUUAGUGGUGCUAGCAAGUCUUUCCCACCAUAUCCUCCGGGAACUAAAUUAUGUAAAUGACAAUGAAUUGAUCAAGCAUAUGUAUAGGUCUCAAAAAUUUAUUAGGUAAUUAAUAUAGGAUUAAAUUCAGUUUGCCCCCUCCUACUUUAGGUCAAUAAUCAGUUUAGUCCCAUAUCUUUUUUUUAAUAACGUUGGUCCUUGAAGUUCUAUUUCACAUCAGUUUAGUCUAAUUUUUGAAUUGCUCUCCUUACUAUGACAUCAUGCGCUGAGUUGUCUGCGACACAAGGGCUCAAUUUCUAAUUUAAAAAGGCAGAAUAGUCAUUUUAUCAUAUUAUGGUCUUCAAAUAAUUCAAAAUUAACAGAAAUGAUUUUGAGAGAAAAACACAGUGAUGCACAGUACCUGCCGACCAAAAAUAAUCUUUGCUCUUUGCUACGCCACAAUACCCACCUCCUCUUCCUCCCCACACCCACAUCUCCAAUCCCACCAGAGCCCAACUCGACGACACCGUUCGUUGUCGGGACGCAGACCAUGGUCUGAAGCCCGAACACCUGACCUUGGCGGGCACGCUCGCAAGAAGAGGCGGCGAAGCGGUCCGGCCCGGCGACCCAGACCGGGUUGGAAUGGAAGAAGUCCUGACCCGGCAGCCCGUCGCCGUUGACGAAAUUCUGGGUCAUGGAAACGAGGAAGAACCAUUAUGUGUAAGUGACCUCUUGAUCGACGAGGGCGUCGUCGACGGAGGUGUCAGCGCCGGAAGUCAAGGAGUUCAAGUCCCUGAGAACUUUCUUGCGGUACUCUUGCUCGACCAGAGACGUCGUCGUUUUGGGCUUCGUUUUUACUUUGUCCCUCUCGUCCUUGUAGAACCCCUCGCCCCAGCCGAGCACGGAGGCGCCCGACAUGUCGUACGACGACUGCCAGGAGAUGGCGUAGGUCCAGCUCUCCCUGGCGCCCUCGAUCAAGGCAUGUAGCCACUGCAUAAGGGUCUCUUGGUUGAACUGCGCCGAUACCGGAGUCGGCGCCUGCGCCGGGGGGCGGGGGUAGUCCGACAUGGAAGCCAAAGACUGGGGCUGGUGAAGCGGGUGGGCGGCGGGAUGGGGUCGGCUGGGCGGCCCAGAAGGAGGUGAGAUCGAAGUUACUUAUGAAGGCCUCCAUGAGGGAGGCGUUGUCGUCUAUCCAGAGAUUCAUGGUGGGUGGUAUCCGGUAGUCCGUCAUGUGAAUGAUGUGAUGAAACACAACGUUUGGGUUAUGGUGGGAUUGGAGAAGUGGGUGUGGGGAGGAAGAGGAGGUGGGUAUUGUGGCGUAGCAAAGAGCAAAGAUUAUUUUUGGUCGGCAGGUACUGUGCAUCACUGUGUUUUUCUCUCAAAAUCAUUUCUGUUAAUUUUAAAUUAUUUGAAGACUAUAAUAUGAUCAAAUGACUAUUCUGCCCUUUUAAGUCAGAAAUUGGGCCCUUGUGUCGCGGAUAACUCAGCGCAUAACGUCAUGGUAAGGAGGGCAAUUCAAAAAUUAGACUAAACUGAUGUGAAAUAGAACUUCAAGGACCAACGUUAUUAAAAAAAAAGAUAUGAGACCAAACUGAUUAUUGACCUAAAGUACGAGGGGGCAAACUGAAUUUAAUCCAUGAUUAAUAUAUAACAUGUAAAAGAUGUUUAUGUGCUAGCCAUGUGUCAAACCAAUUUACGACAAGUAAGUACGACAUACUAAACUUGGAUUAACCGCUAAACUCACAAGGAUGCACUAAAUAUUUCGGCUCAAGUGUUUAGGGCUAAUUGUGUUUCACUUAAUAACAAUUUCGCAAAUUAGGUCUCUAUAGGCUUGCUCUUCUACCGCAUCUCCGCUAGGUAGCUUCACAACUUUCAAGAUCAUGGGGUAUUUUAUUUGGUUAUAAUGGGGUUAAGAGCAUGUGGCUAAUAUAAAUGAAGGAUAUGAAAAUAAUAAGUCCAAAGAAAUAGGUGAAGUAACUCUCUCUUGUAGAGAUAUUAGAAUUUUGCUUUCAAGUGCUAGCUCACCCACUCCAUUCCCAAUAGCAACCCACUAACAAGACUAUACAAUAUUUUUUUCUUCUACAUUUUUUCUUUCUUUUCUUUUUGUCUCUCUAUUUUUNNNNNNNNNNNNNNNNNNNNACAAGGGAUUGUAGUGUAGGACCUCAAGCUUCGUAUCCUCUUCACUAAACAAGGACUCAUCCUCCACAUAAGACAAGGCAUCCUCCUCUUCGGAAUCAUCUUCAAGUAGCUCUCCACUAUUAGGAAGCCUACAUUUCCAAUAUUCCACCCAUUCCGUAGAAGAGUAGUCUCUCACCUCACUUGCAUUUGAACUCUCAUAACCAAGCUCACUUUCUUGUACAUCACCAUCACUAUCAUCAUCUUUAAUUUGAAUUAAAGACUCAUGCUCAAGAUUGAUGUACACUUAUUCUCUUGGAAUAUGCUCCACUUAUCAAAGAAAGGCUCUUGCAAAUAUAAAGUGGUGCGAUGUUGCUCUUGAAGGAUGCUAGCUUUGACAUAAUCCAUGAUUGGACCGACACUCUCACAUGAUGCUAUAAAUUGAGCAAACAAUUCUUCAAUGGAUGAGUGUGGAGGCUCUCACACUUGAUCUUGAGGAGAUUGCUCAUAUCUCAUUUGGUAUUUCCAUCCAUGAUUCUAUCGUUCCAUAGCUCAAAUUAGUAAGAAUAAAGUACCUAUGGAAUCCCAAGAGUGACAUUAGUAACAAAAAUUUAAAAAGAAAGUAAGAAAAUAAGCACACAAAACAUAACUAACUAACUAGAACAAUUUUUUUUCUUUUUCCUUUUAUCAAAAAUAAACAAAACAAAAACAAAUAUGCUAAAGUGACCUAUGACUGAUUCACCAAGGGAUUAAGGCUAUUAAACCAUAAUCCCCGGCAACAGCGCCAUUUAAUUUGAAGAAAAUGAGAAAGCCAAGUCAGAGUUGUAUUCAUUCUUUUAUUUAUACGGUUCAGAAGACAAGCCAGGUUUAAUGAGAACUUCAAAUGGAGUGGCUUUAUUUAUACGAUUGGUGUUGAGGACGCGGCCAUGUAAAUGAUGUAAUUGAUAGUGAAGGUGCUGGUGAAGGUAACUUCACGAGAAUCAUGCUUGAAACUUGAAAGUAGGAGUCAUCAUGCUUGUUAAUAUUCGUUGUCUAAUUUUUGAGCUCUGAUCCCAAAAUAAAAAAAUUAAAAAAAAUGGCACGUGUGACAUGAGCGGGAAUAAAAUUGAAUCGCAAAUAGAGACGUUGCUGGAUUGACUUCGAUGGAUGAUCACGGUUUCUACGACGUAAUGGGAUCGAAGACUACACGUGUCAUUUUAAGGGUGAAAAAGAAAAUGAGUGGGGAGUAGGAUUCUGACAAGUGUGUUUUUUACAAUAUUUUAGGUUAUGCAAGUUGAUUAGGCUAAUUAUUAGCUAGCUGAAUGCCACGUGGAGAGUGUCCAAUUUUACAAAGGUGAUGUGUUUAGAGUCGAUGCACAUCUUAACCUGAUCUUUAAUGAUUCAAAUCAGAAAGAAUAUUUGUAGAAGAAGCUAGAAAAAAAAACAAAUAACAAAAGAAAAAAAUAAUAUAUACUUUUGUAAAGGUAACAUUAGGUUUUCUUUUGUUCAUCACUAAAGUAGUUGUAUGUGGUUAGAUUAACAGCUUCAUUAUAAACAUAGUUGUUUUAAGAUGUGACGAAUAAGUCUAAAUAUCAUAUAACAUUCUAGGUUUAGGUUUUUGGUUCGUCGUUUACAUGACUUACAUUUUUUAGGGUAGGGUCAUUAAUUCUCGUCAAACUAUUGUAUGUCACCGUGAGAGCGAGUGAUUUGCUUCAUUCGCUGGUGGUUUCUAUGUCCUCAUGUUAGCUUCAUCUGUCACUUUAGCAUUGGAGUCCAUUAUCUUCUCUCAUAUUUUUCUCAUUAUAGCCUGUUGAAAACUUGUGAAUUGAGUUUUGCAUGCCUCACCAUAAUUAUUCGUCUCAUUAUAGCCUGUUGAAAACUUGAAAGAAGCUGCAGCAAGGGGUUUCCAAGAGGGUUUCUGAAAAUGAAACCGCCUGCCGCAUAGCUACUCUUCACAGAUCCAUCAAAAUUUAAUUUAACCCAAUCACUAGGGGGUGGAGACCACCUUAUCAGAUAUCAUUCUCAUAGUUUGAUAAGUACUCCUGACUGUGCAAAGAUUGGCCGAAUUCUGGAGGUGGCUCAUUGCAGCAGCAAGAGUCGAUCUAGGAUUAGGCUGUUUGCCCCGAAAAAUGGUAUCGUUUCUGGUUUUCCAAACCUGCCAACAGAUAGUGAUUAAUUUCUCAAAUAAACUUGCGUCAUAAGGAUUUUCAAUGAACCAAUUAUGAAUAACUUUAAAAAAGCCUUCAUUCCAGCUAAUAGGGGGUGACAUGUUGGAGUUGGUCCCCAAAGGUCUUUUGUGAACCUGCAAUAUCCAAACAGAUGAUCAGUAGUUUCAUUAUCCUGAUUGCAUAAAGCACAAGAAUUAUCAUGCACUAUACCGAAUCGAGAAAGUCUAUCUUGGGUUUUCAGUCUUCCUCUAAGGAGAAGCCAGCCAAAGAAUUUAAUUUUUGGCUGGAGGUUCAGGGCCCAAAGCUUUUUGAUCAGCUCGAUCUGUUUAUGUUUUUGACAAUCCUGUAGUUGUAGCCAAGUAGCCGACUUUAUAGUAAACUUCACAUGCUGAGCAGUGCCCCAAACGCACUCAUCUGCAGAGGGAUUAGUGGGAAUAGGCACCCCAAGAAUUUCCUUCACAAUGUUCUCAUCAAGAAAACUCCUCAGCUUUACAGUGUUCCAGCCAUUUUCAUUAAAGUAAUCGCUCACUAGCUCAUCUAAGUUAAUGUUAUUCCUAAGAUGGGUAGGAAUAAGUUCGACAAGAGGAUGAUCAAAGACCCAGUUAAAACAGCAAAAGUUAAUUGACUUACCAUCACCUACAAUCCAUCGCAUACCUUUAAUGAUUAGGUCCCUUGUGUCCAGAAUACCAUUCCAAGCCAUUGAGUUUCUUUGCUUCUUUUUGGCCUGGAAAAAAGAACAUUUCCCGAGAUAUUUCUUCUGCAUGACCUGCUCCCACCAAUUGUUUCUAUCAGUAAUUACUUUCCAGGCAAGUUUUGCAAUUGCAGCCUUAUUAAAGAAAUCGGCUGGUCUAACACCUAGACCACCUAGAGCUUUAGGUUUACAUAUAUCUUUCCAAGCCACAGGAGUUUGUUUCAUAUCUGAACCCCACAAGAAAUUUCUUCCUUGUUUGUCAAUUUCAUUGGUCAAGUUCUUGGGGCACCGAAAAAGGACAUUACAUGGUUCGGCAUACCAGAAAUGUUUGCUUUGAUAAGGGUAAGUUUACCUGCCCUCGAGAGGGUGCUUUGUUUCCACCCUGAGAGUUAUUAGAAAUUCUCUGCAAGAGUUCCUUGGCAUUAACAGGGUCUUUCCACCACACAACAUUGUGAAUGCCUAAAUAUUUACCAAUAGUUCUUUUCUGUUGGAUAUUAAUAAUAUUCGUAAUUUCAUUCCUAAUGCUGUGAUUAACUUUUGAGGAAAAGAAAAGUGAAGAUUUAUGGAAGUUAAUCUUCUGACUUGAAGCAGCAGAGAAAGCAUCCAAAACUUUGCAUAUGUUCCUGGUAGCAUUUUUAGUGGUCUUUGCAAAAAUUAAACAAUCAUCAGCAAACAUCAAGUUUGAGAUUCUGAAACCAAGAGGGGAAGAAAGAAUUCCCACCUGGGCUUUACUGUUCACUGCCAAAGAGUUAAACCGUUUGAUUAAAGGUUCCAUUGCUAAAAUGAAAAUAUAAGGGGACAAGGGGUCACCUUGUCUUAUACCUCUUGAAGGUUGGAACCAGCCCUGAGGAGAGCCAUUGAGAAUAAUAGAGAAGGAAACAGAUUUAAUGCAAUGCAUAACUAACUCAAUCCAAUCAUAGUGAAAGCCAAAUCUCAAAAGACAAGCUUUAAUAUUAAGACCAAUCAAGUAAAUCAUAAGCUUUUUCAAGGUCUAGUUUGACUGCCAUGGCUCCAUUCCUUCCUAAUCUUCUUUGAAAAUCUGAGAAGAUUUCAUGUGCAAUCAAGAUGUUAUCCUAUAGCCCUUCCUGGUGCAAAAGCACCAUGGUUUUUCGAUAUACAUUUUCCUAAAAGAGGUCUUAAUCUUUUGAUCAAAAUUUUGGUAAUGAUUUUAUAAGAGACAUUGCAAAGGCUAAUAGGUCUGAAAUCAUUUACCUUAGAGGGAUUUUCUACCUUGGGAAUCAAGGCAAUAUUGGUAUGGUUCAAGUGUCUGAUUAGAUCUCCAUUGGUAAAGCAAGCUUUAAUCAUUGGUAUCACAGUGUCUCUUGUCUCCUUCCAGCAACUUUGAAAGAACAUUGCAUGCAGACCAUCAGGUCCGGGUGCUUUAAGCGCUCCAAUAGAGUUAACUGCUUACAGAAUUUCAUCAUCCGUGACCUGUUUCAAAAGAGCAUUAUUAUCCUCAGCUGUGAUUUCAGAGUUAAUAAUAGAUAUAAAAUCCAUAAUACUAGUUGCACUUGGAGGUGAAUCCUGGUGAAAUCUUUUCUUGAAGUCCUGUCCAAGAAUAUGAGCAAUAUCCUCCUCAUUCGAAGUCCAAUUUCCUUCUCUAUCUUGUAGCUUAGAAAUAUGGUUAACCUUCCUGUGAAUGUUUGCUUGAGCUUGAAAAAAUUUGGUGUUUCUGUCCCCUAGUUUAAGCCAAUUUGCUUUAGCUUUUUGUGCCCAAAAAACUUCCUCUUGUUUCCAGAUUUCAUGUAGGCUAACACGAACUUGAGCAUCUCUCUGCUUAAGAUAAAUGGAGCUUGGGUUGUUCAUGAGUUGUAAUUGGAUCUCAUCACUUUCCUUGUUCAGUUCCUCCAUUCUUUUGAAAAGGCUGCCAAAUUCUGAUUUUUUCCAAGAUCUGGCAACAUUAGAAAACUGGCCUGCAAUGGUAAUAAAAUUCAACAUAGGGUUAUUAUUAAAAUUUUGGGACCAAACUUUUUUCACUAAAGGGGCAAAGUUUGGAUGGGAAAUCCAAAUAGCUUCAAACUUGAAGGAUUUAGUAGUAUUCCUUCUGGGUGAAUCUAGAGAGAGGCAGAUGGGACCAUGGUCCAAAGUAAUAAUCGGUAGAUUUUCCAAUUUCGCAUUUGGAAAAUCAUUAUGAAAACUAGUAUUAACAAUGGCUCUGUCUAAUCUUUCAAAAAUCACCGAGUCAUCUACAUGCUUAUUUGUCCAAGUAAAAGGUAAACCAGAAGCCACUAGAGACACCAAACCAUUGUUGUUCAAGAAAUCGCAAAAAUUUAGCAUAAACUUCGUUACACCACCAAUACCCCCAAGUUUUUCCUCAGGGGACAUAUUGAAGUCACCCAUUAACACCCAACAAGAGUUAUUAGUUGGGCUGAGCAUAGAAAUUUCAUUCCAUAAGGCAGCUUGGUGUUCCUUUUUUGGAUAGGCAUAAUCAAAGGUAAAUAAGCAAGAUUUAUUUUCUCUGAGGUUAGUAACAUUGCAAUGUAUAAAUCUUUUGUGAGUAGAGAUAAUUUGGAUAGACACAGAUUUUGAAUUCCACAGCAAGGUCAUACCUCCACACUGUCCAACAGAAGGAACAGAAAUAGACUGAUCAAAAGGCAACUUCCUGGUUUUAUUUAAAGUAGUAGCCGAUGAUCUAGUAUCAAUGACACAUAAAACCUCAAUUUCAAAACAAGAAGUAUAAAAGAGUGCUUGUGCUUCAAAACCAUCCCAAGCACUCCCUCGGCUGUUCCAAGACAUUACUUUCAUUUUUUGUCCAAGCUUAGCAGAAAAAGCACUGCCAUCAUCUUCGGCAGAUUCAUACAUGAGAGUAUCAAUGAAGGUUGUAUCGAUGACCUCUGUAAGAUAGGAAUGCUUCAAUGCUUGGCCUAUAGAAAUCAAUGGCUAUAUUUUUCCAAAUUGGUUUGGUUUAAUUAAUAGAGACUAGCCUUCCUGAGAACUAUAAAUGUGCUAUAUUUGGUUUCAAUCUGAGAACUAUAAAUUCACAAUUUUUAUGCAUUACUUUUUCUGUAUUGUAGUAAUUUGAUAUCAGAGAGCAUGAUGAAGAUGAUUCAGAAUUCUCCUUCAUUGGCGGAGUCCCCAAGAAGCUGUGGUGCCGAAUUUUCAUCGUCCAAUCCGUAGUUCCAAAAUGAAAAAUAGGUUUGUUUUGUGUGAUUGUAAUUCUGGAUUAAUGAGUAUUCGUACUGUAUGAAAUCUUAUUGGUUCAUUGAUAUGAGUUUUUUGUAUUUGGAUAAUGUAGUUUUUUUGCUGGAGAUGCUCUUAAUGUGUUUUGUUUUCAUUCGAGGUUCUCCGCUUAAAAUCUUUUAUUCAUUCGAUGGAAGCUAUUGUUGGAUAUUCUCCAGAUAAAAGUCAGAAUAUGAUUCUUAUGGGUGGUUUAAGAAAACAUGAUUUGCGCAUAUAGUCGGAAAUAUUUCUCAUUAUUAUAGCGGAUCUUUAAAAAAAAAGAUACCUAAAACUAACAUCAUAUAACCCAAUUGAGACAUUGUAGAAUAAGCUAAACCCUUCAUUUAAUCAAUGUUAUUGUUAACUUGUACAGUUCACACUCUUUGGCUCUACCUAAAAUUAUCUAGUACUAGAUCUUUCACAACGAGAUCCAUUUAUACAGUAACGGUAUUUAAUUAUGAAGAUUGGCUGAAGGGUGGUUAUUGGAUCAUUUACCAACCUGAGUCUGAUAGACUCUAUCAUUUAUUUUAUAGAAAAUGAUAUCCCAAUACCAUAGAUAGUUGUAAAACACAGAAAAACCAACAUUCAACAAAUUUAAACAAAUAAGGACAUAAGCCCAAGCCCACAAGGCAUAGUCCCACGCCUUGUCAGCAAUUUUUAAGUAAAAUACUUAAAAAACCAAUCUUUUCUAAAAAAACUACAAAACUGCCAUGACUAAAAAUAUCUUCUCUCUCUGAUCUGUCAUACUCUCUCUCUCUCUGCACACCACACAACGCCGAUCGAAUCCGCCGUAAUUGCUAGAUCGACCUCAUCGAUCGUCUCCGCCGCCUGCUAGAUCGACUCAGCCACCUGCACCUCGCCGAUCGACUCCGCCGCAGCUAGAUCGACGCCGCUGUUAUGAGCUAGGGUUCCGAUUGGGACGAUAUUCCCGAUUUGUGUCCUCAGGUGAGAUUGGGAAUCGACAUGUUGAUAAGGAAUGCGAAUUCGUUCCGAUCUUGAAGCUAGGGAACUAAUCAAAGCUCAGAGAAAUGGACGUGGACUCCUCGAUGGCGCCGGAGGCCGAUCACGAUCCGGCUGUACAGAACCAGAGCACGACGGCGGUGGAUGGGGGAGAACAGCUAGGAGAACAACAGCCUCAGUCUCCGGCUUCCCCGGCGGCGCAACAGCUUCAGUCUCCGGCGUCGCCGCAGUAGACUCCGGUGGCCGGACCGAGGCAUGCCCCGACGUACUCGGUGGUCAAUGCGAUUUUAGAGAAGAAGGAGGAUGGGCCGGGGCUGAGGUGUGGCCACACGUUGACUGCGGUCGCCGCUGUUGGCGAGGAGGGCAGUCCUGGAUACAUUGGACCCCGGCUGAUUCUGUUCGGCGGUGCCACCGCCCUUUAGGGCAAUUCUGCGGCUUCUGGGACUCCAUCGUCAGCUGGAAGUGCCGGAAUAAGUAUGUUGUUAUCUUNNNNNNNNNNNNNNNNNNNNUUUCAGCAAUGACCUUUUCUCAUGAAAUGCUCAUAUCUCAAACUGAGAAUGUGAUAAAUAGAUGAGGCUUCCCUUAGUGGAAAGUAGACUCAUAGAGCUUUCUAACCAUAUGAAGUAGGCCACCUAUCUCCCAACGAGAUAAAAACUAAAGCCGGUCAAAGUUGCCGGUUAGUCAUGAAGUUUGCUGCUGACCCUCAGUCACCAAAAAUGCAAUAUCUGAAGCUCCAGGGGUGAAAAGUGGGUGAGGCCAACUGGAGGAAAAAGUAGACUCACGUAAUCACAUUGUGUUAAAUUUUUACUGACAAAUGAUCUCUGAGUCAAAAUUGGUUGGCCUCGAAACUCACUGAACUGUUCUGCAGAUUCCGCUGUGCCCUGUUUCUGCCCUUUGUUACUUGGAACAUAAUAUCAGUAGCUAGGGAAAUGAAAACUGAAAACUGUUUUACCAGCAUCCACUAGACAUCUGAAGGCACAUCUCUGAAAAAUUUCAGCUCAAAAUGACAUGAUAUGUAGAAGAAGUGCCUCUUCAAAGUCAUUGCACAGUAGCAGUCUCUGUUCUGAUCUCCAUGCUUUGACCAUUUAAUAACUACAGUUCCAGUGACUCAAAGAGGCUGAAAUUUGGAAACAACACAGUAGACAAAUAGGGGUAAUACUCCAAAUAUUUUCAGCUCCAAAUAGCAUCCAUAUGGAAAAAUAUGAUCCCCCAAAGUCGACUGAAAAUCUGGACAGAAACUGUUCGCUUCCCCAUUCUUGCAUUCUUCACAAUUCCGAUUCCAAACACCUCCCAACCUCCCAAAAGUUACUAUAAAGUCUUAUUCAACACAAAAAGAAGAUAAUAAAAACAGGAAUGUUACCGAUGAUGUGCUAGGGUUGCCUCCCUAGCGAGCACUUUGUUUAAGGAUGUCGUUGCCGGUCCAUAAGAUGUGAGUUUCGUCAAGUUGGAUACUUCUCAAGUGCGACCACCCUAUUGUUAGGGGCUAAGGGACCCCUUGACAUAUCAUAGAGGCAUGACCAGGAGCUACAAAAGAAUACUCCAAUUUGAGGCCAAAAGAGUAGCCUCUUAGCUUUCCUCUUCUCAAUUCUACUUUGAGGAGCCAUCCUUACCUUCUCCUUCAAGAUAGAUGUAGAAAUGGUGCUCAUAGGAACAAUAGGUGGUAGAGGCUCUUGGAAGUGAUGGGGAAGUUUGAUCACAAGAGCUCCAUUUCCUUUCCAAUCUAUUACCUCAUUGUAGAACCAUAGACCACUUAAAGGUGGAUUGAGAGGUAAGAUCACCUCAAGCUCAAUCUUCUCAUUAAGUACAAAUAUGCUCAAGGUUCUACAAUUCACCUUGGGAAGCUCAUGAUGGAUCUCCAUGGGUGUGGGAGGAGAGAAAGUCCUAGACUCUUCAACAUCUUUAUCAUCACAAGGCACCAAAGAACCCUCCUCCUCUUUGGGAACAUCACCCUCAAUGAAUAAAGGAUUGNNNNNNNNNNNNNNNNNNNNNNNNNNNNNNNNNNNNNNNNNNNNNNNNNNNNNNNNNNNNNNNNNNNNNNNNNNNNNNNNNNNNNNNNNNNNNNNNNNNNNNNNNNNNNNNNNNNNNNNNNNNNNNNNNNNNNNNNNNNNNNNNNNNNNNNNNNNNNNNNNNNNNNNNNNNNNNNNNNNNNNNNNNNNNNNNNNNNNNNNNNNNNNNNNNNNNNNNNNNNNNNNNNNNNNNNNNNNNNNNNNNNNNNNNNNNNNNNNNNNNNNNNNNNNNNNNNNNNNNNNNNNNNNNNNNNNNNNNNNNNNNNNNNNNNNNNNNNNNNNNNNNNNNNNNNNNNNNNNNNNNNNNNNNNNNNNNNNNNNNNNNNNNNNNNNNNNNNNNNNNNNNNNNNNNNNNNNNNNNNNNNNNNNNNNNNNNNNNNNNNNNNNNNNNNNNNNNNNNNNNNNNNNNNNNNNNNNNNNNNNNNNNNNNNNNNNNNNNNNNNNNNNNNNNNNNNNNNNNNNNNNNNNNNNNNNNNNNNNNNNNNNNNNNNNNNNNNNNNNNNNNNAUAACACAUGGCAUGCAGAAAAAGAUUGUCCUUAAUUGUUAAAAACUGUCCUUAGUUGUUUAACAACAACACAAGUGGAUUUAUUUGUGUUUCAAAUCUUUUUGGAGGAUGUAUAUGUGAUUUGCUAUUUAUUUUAUAUUUCUUCAAUGUAAGUAAGGUAAAAAAAGGCGAAUUCCAUUAUAGAGCCGUAUGCAAUGCGCAAAAGAUGCCUGUACGGUUGUUCAAUUAUAUCUUUUUUGAUUUUUAUUAUUCUUUAUCUAUUCACCUUUCACUUUCAUCAUGAAAGAUAGAAGAAACAUUUUUUGUGUUAUAUCAUAUAUUAUAUCAUUAGGGUAGCCAUUCCGCCCAUUUCGUCGAGAUAAACAAGUCGUAUUCUGUCAUAACUCGUUCCGGCCAAGAAAAAAAACACAGCACCAAUAAAUAUGUGAGAAAUUAUUUGUAAAAUUGUCCCAUUGAGCCCUGUAUCGCUUAUAGAACCAAUUCCUAUAAUUAUGAACCCAUAUGAGAUACUAAAGAAUAGGCUAUUCUUUUUUUAAUCAGAUAAGAAGGGCAGUACAACCCGGAACAAAAUGAGGAUAAUGUAUUGGCAAGAAUGUUAGACCAUAAAGAAGCUAUCAUAUCCCAUUUAAGUUGUGUCACACCCCAAUUUUCGAAGGAUAAAUUUCAAAAAUUUGGGUAUGAUAUAACUCACAAAUCUUAAUAUCCUAAAACCUGCUCAACAACUUCCAAACUAAAUUCAAAUACUGGAAAUGUAAAUGUCAACAAUUCAUCAACCGAGUUAAACAUUACAUCUCCUUAAUUACAUCAACUUCAAAAGUCUAAUAAUAAUAAAGUCGCUCACAUGAGCUUAAAAACAAACUGCCAUAAUAAAAUAAAAUAAAAUUCACAGAAACUAAAAUCCUGCCACUAUGCCUCCGCCUCAACCCUGCUAAUCAUCACCUGUAGGUCUAACCUCUACACCAUGAAUUGGUGCACCGGGUUGUAAACAACAAACCCAGUAAGCUAAAAAGCCGGUAUGAGUAACUCUAAAAAAUAACUCAACCUAACAUCACAUAGAAUAAUACGGAAAUUUUCCCAUAUUUAUAUGCACAAGACAUAGUAUUCCCACAAGAAUAACCUAUCAAGAACCAAAAAUAUUAUAAUUUCAUGAACCUUAAAAAUAAUCAUAUAAUAGGAAAACUUGUUUUAUCUUACCUAUAAGCCGUUUGCGAUCAAGCUCAUAUAUUUUAAAACAACAAAAAAUAAAAUUUUUAAAUUAAAAACAUCAUAAUCAUCAACAAUUGCAUCAUUAAAAUUCAUCAUCAUUUUAUCAUUAUAAACCUUAUCAUCAUCAUCCUCUUAAUUAUCAUAAUCAUCAUCACAAUAACCAUAAAUAAUUGGUCUAAAUAUGAACUUUGGUGAGAUUUACUCACCUAAAUAUUCCCGUUGCGUCUUCACAAUAAACUCAAGAGCCAAGCUCAAAUCAAUUCCACAAGCUACCUAAUUAACACAAUUGAUAGCCUUUAAUUAGCACCUUCAGAUUAAAGGAUAACAAAACACCCUCAAACUAACCUUAGCCCAAAAGAGGACAACCUGUCACACCCCAAUUUUCGAAAGAUAAAUUUCAAAAAUUUUGGCAUGAUAUAUCCUAAAAUAUUAAAAUCCCAAAACCUGUUUCAACAAAAAUCAAGGAAAAUAAACUCAAUGCGUAAUGUAAAUUUACACACAACACCAAAUUGAGUUAAAUUACAAUUCCUUUUUUACAUAACUUGAGAACAAGAAAAAGAAACUCUCACAUGAGUUUAAUAAAUCAUAACCCAGUGUAUAUAAAAAGAAUAUACAAUGAACAACCAAAACCCAACAAAAAAAACCCUGCCACUAAGCCUCCACCUCAACCCUGCUGAUCCUCACCUGCAGGUGUAACCCCUACACCAAGAAAUGGUGCACCGGGUUGUAAACAACAAACCCGGUAAGCUAAAAAGCUCGUAUGAGUAAACUAAAAAACAACACAACAUUUAAUCACAUCCAAUAUUCACAAGAGAGAUUGGAUCAAUAAUUAAAAACCACACAUCUAACACAUUACCCAAGAAAUGUACCCAUGAGUCCCAGAUAUUUAAUAAAAUACCCCUCAUGACCUACAACAACACUAUGUGUACCCAUGAGUCCCAGAUACUAUACAGUAUCUCCCAUGACCUACACUGACAGACGGACUAGAGCUCUAUUCCUAACAGCAACCAAUCACCCGGCCAAAGGCUUGGAACCCGGUUUGACUGUCUAAUAUCAAACACAAAAAUGAUAAAUAGCAUCUUAACCGCAACCAAUCACCCAAAAAGGGCUUGGAACCCGGUUUGGCUAUUUAUCAAACAAUCAUAAUAAAUUUCACAACCUUAUCCUCAACAACACUAUCACAAUUAUUAUUCUCAACAACAUAAUAUAUAUCACAUCAUUAUUCUCAACAUCACAAUAUAAAGAAGACUUGUUUUUAUCUUACCUAUGAGCCGUUGGCAAUCAAGCUCAUAUAUUUUUUUAAAACAAUUAAAAGCAUAAUAUUAAAACCAACAUCAUCAUCAUUAUUAUUAUCAUUAGGUUCAAAUGUGAACCUUGGUGAGAUUUACUCACCUAGAUAGCCCGCUGCGUUUCCGCAAAACACAAGAGCAAGCCAACUCACAAUUUCACAAAUCACCUAAAAUAACACACAUAUUAACCUUAGUAACAAACACAACAAGGAUCAAAGUACUCUUAACUUAAAGGUUGCCCCCAAGAAGGGAAAUCCUUCCUCCAAGACCUCCCAAGGUCAUUGAACACUUAACAACAACCAAACUACCUUCAAGAUCAAACUUUCUAAGUUUUCGAUCUAAUGAACACAAUUAAACUUAAGUCCUAGCAUGCCAACCUUGCUUAAAAUAUAGCCAUACUACUACUCAACAAGCUCACAGCAGCAAGGACUAGCUAACCAUAGGAAACUAAGGCCGCCACUCAGCCGGACGCGCAGCCACAGGCGGCGGCGAGUGGGCCCCACGCGCCUCCCUAAACUUCCGAAUUUGAGAAAACUCCUAACAACAAAGUUGAAGCUUGAAGCAAGGGGAACAACUUUCAUACCUGAGACUUCGACCAAAAAUGGCCGAAACCGGCCGGAAACCGUCCCGAACAGUGACCAGAAAAUCAAUGACAAAAUCUGCAAAACCGGCCUCAAAACCUUAAAAACUUGCUUCAAUCUAUGCCUAAACACUACCAGGGGAAGGAGAGGAUCAAGACUCACCUAAGGAUGUACCUCGUCGCCGCCGUAUACGGCAGCUCCGACCGUGGCACAACAGCCCUUUUUCCGACUACUAAGCUUCGGUUCCGGCGUGCUACACCGAGCAGCAGCUGCCCAGCCUUGGAGAGGACGCUUGUGGGAGCCGAACGGGACCGGUGGAGGUCCAAACGGUGGCCGGACGGCGGAGCUAGCUCCGGCAGAAAUUUGGUCCUCGGGGGAGCUCGGGAGAGGAAGAGAGGGAAGGAAAAGAAGAGAGAAAAAAAAAGAGUGAGGAGAGAGAUAGAGAGAGUGCUGUUUUUAGUGUUAGGGUUUCCAAAAAUAACCCACACACAUUUUCCUACUUAAACACUUUCCACACCUGGAACCUAACUUCCUUUGACCACAACUUUCUCUCCCAACUUCCGAUUUAAGCGUGCCGCGUGUCUACGAACUCGUAACGACUAAAUAAGGCUGCCUCCAAUCCUCAAAACCUAAACUCAAACCUCACACAAGCCUAAGCUUAAGCUUAAACUUAAUGUCCUAACAUGAAAUCUUUGCUCACAACCUAGAAUUUUCACCUCUCAACAUGCUCACCACAGCAAGAGCUAGCUAACCACAGCAAACUAAAGCCAUAAACAAUGCCGGAUGUGCUGCCACGUGCCGCCACAGCAGCGGCGAGUGAGCCCCACGCUCCUCCACCAACCUCAAAAUUUGGGGAAACUCACAACAGCAAAGUUGUAGAUUGAAGCAAGGUGAACAACUUUAAUACUUGAGGUUUCAACCAGUUCAGCUGGAAAACGCUUCGAAACACCACCCCACAACCAAACUUCGAAUCUGCAAAAACCAGCGCCCAACUUCUAUUUUUAGGUCACCAAAGAGGCAUAAACAACUCUAGGCAAAGGAGGAGAGCAAGACUUACCAAGCCUCAACCAAAUUCGCCGUCGGAAGAAGAAAAUCCGGCGAUGUAGACCGGAGCUUCACCAGCCCAGUGCUCCUCCUCUAGCUCCAGGCACGGCGUCGCACCACUACAGGAGGGAAGAGAGUGGCCGUGCGAUCCAAAAGAGACCAGUGGCGGCCGAAACGGUGGCCGGACGGCGGACUUCCGGCCGGCGAAAUUCCUGGCAUGCGUGAGGCGUCGGGAGCUCGGGAGAGAGGAGAGAGAAAGUGAAACUGAUUUUUAGGGUUUCUAAAAAUAACCCACAACACUUUUUUACUUACACACUUUCCCAAAUCUGGAAACUAACUUUCUCUGACCAUAACUUUCUCAUACAAAGUCCGUUUUACGCGUGCCACGUGUCUACAAACUCAUAUCGUCGUGCUCUACAACUUUUGUUAAGGAAGUUUCUCGAGAAACCCAACAGAUUAAAAAGUCAACUCUUGACCCUUCAAAAUAACGUAUUUCUAACAAAGAAAUCUCUCGAACACCUCCGCUCUUCCUUCGAACCUCAAAACACACUAACUUCUAACUCAAAAAUUCUCAAAUAAUAUUAGAAACUAAUAUUAAUAUUCCAAGGUAUUACAAGUUGGGCCAGUCUCUUAAAUGUAUUUUUAAUGUAUGCUCUCUCAUGAAAUAAACAAAAUUGAACUUUCGUGAUAUUGUCUUUCCUUCUGGCAUUUUGUUAUUAGGUUUUGGAUUGAUGACUAAGUUAUACAUUAUAAUUGUUCUAAAUGUUAGCUACCUAUAAAUGACUACCCUAUUUCUUUUUUAUUCUGUAGUCAUGAAACUAAUGUUUUUCUUUGGAUUUUUCAGGUAACAAUAACUUUGGGUUGUUGGAAGACUUUGAAGAGGGCAAAUGAGUUUUAGCAAGGUACACCGUUUCUAAUCAUAUUACAUCUUCAGUUCUUAAAAUAAAUUUUAGUUUUUUAAUGAUAGUGCUUGCAUUUCAUCCACGAUGCUGCCAAGCAGAACUUGCAAGACUGCAGACUUCAUUUCUUAAAUCACACCACAAGUGCAAAGCAGAGACCACAUACAUAUGCAUUUGAAAAAAAGUGUGGAAACAAAUAUAUCUCAAAAUAGGUAGACAAUAUAAACCUGACAAUGCUAAUUACGUGUUAACCUUGUUUUUUUUUUUCAUAUUGGACUCUUAAUUGGCCCUUAUACCUUAUGACAAUGCUAAUGCAUUUGAUCAGCUUUUUCUAUACAACAAUGCAGGCAUUCUAGAUUAUGACAUGAAUGUUUUGAAAAUGUUAUCCCCUCAAAGUAUGAGGUCCCGAUGUGGCUCAGAACUUAUGUUUAACUUUGAUGUAUAUGUUCUUAGAUUGAUUUUCCAUUUCAAGUAGUAAACUAGCUCUGCCAAAAAAAAAGGUAAUAUAUUAGGAGGAAUGUUUAUGCUUUCUUUUCUUUUUCUUCCAUCCUUCUAAUAUUUAUACAUUCUGACUUGGACUUUCUAUUUAUCAGCACGAUCUCAUUUGUAUUAACUAAUGCUAAUGUCAAAAUCUCAAACACGCAAUAUUACAGUACCUACUUGGUCUCAUAGCCAAGAUUUAUAGCUCUGCAUCGUUAUGUACCCGUUCAAUAUUUGUAGCCAAGGUUUAUAUCAUAUUUCUCUUCUUUUGCAUUUCAUUAGCUCAUAAGCCCUUCAUAUUGUACUACAUAGUCUAGGUCAAUAGGCCCUUCAAAUUGUCCUUGAUGCUACAAAACACAAGGAGGAUGUAUUUAAGUCUUUAACCCGGGGCAUACACUUGCAGUUUGGAACAUAGAUCUAUUCAAGUUAUAAACAGUUGGCACACAAAUCGAGCUGCAUCUACCUAAAAUGUUCAAUGAAUAUGUGUGAUGUGCAAUUUGUAGUUGAGAUGCUGNNNNNNNNNNNNNNNNNNNNUACUUAUUUGAUUAGAAAAGGAAAAAAAAAAAGAAAGUAUCUUGGCCAAAGAAAUGAAGAUUCAAUGCAGAAACCUCAAUUCAUUACUAUCAAUAUAAUAAACUAACAUCUGAACAUUAUGUUUGUUCAUUCCUUUCAAUACACGCAGCAUUUUUCUAUCACCGUCAUGAAACUCCUACAAUAUUGAUUACUAAAGAAUUUGCAAAUCAGUAUCAUUCUUCUUAACAGAGUUACAACAGCUGUAGUUAGACCAAACAAUAUGAACUCACUCAUAUAUCUAUUUCUUCAAACCCCCAAUUUGCAAUUGCCUUAGAAAAAUUGCCCAAAUCGAUAAAAGUAUACCUGUUCAAAACCAAAACCACUCACGCUGAAUCUUGAGGUUUCAGUACCUCAGAAGAAAAACUCUACAAACAGUAGGAAAAGUUUGGAAAGAUCAAUGUUACUGUAGUCAUUAUUACAUUAUAGUUAAGUACGUAAUGUUAGCAGAUUAAUGACAAGUAGUUAUAUAUACAAUUCUCUCUUGGUUUUCGAAAGCCCUCUUUUUCAGUUUAUAACGAUCCCAGGCUUUUGGUUAUUCAAAGCCACUGUGAGUUCCUAUUGUUAUAUCAACACCACAUUUGUAAGUCAUACUUAAAAUGAAAACAGCAGUAAAAUGAUGACAAAUUUUGUAAUCACUCAACAGCAUCAAUAUUUGCAGUACUAACCUGAAAACAAAAACUUCCCCUUUUUUUCUGUCUUUUUUUUCGAAUUCAGACUUCCUUUCUUUUUCUCUAUAGAAACCGAGAUAAUAAAAUUUGUAUUAGUUGUAAUUCAAGGAAAUUGUUGUUGUUCACAUCGAUGUAAGAGAAUAAACAAACUUUAUAUACUUGCAGAUGCAAACCUACCAGAUAUGUGAAACAGAAAGAUGUCAUUGCUGAAUUUCAAAUCCUUAUCUUACUCUAUUUGACGUUGCACAUUUCAGCAAAAUAAGAUGUAGCGAAGAAGUUACUUUAUAAACAAAGACAUGAUGAGACCGAAAACAGAAUUAGGACAUGCACUUUGAUGUAAAGUUAAUCAUGAAAAGAUUCUGCUGUGACACAAUUUCUAGACUAGACCCACAUGCACCAAAAACAUGACAAACCCAGAAGCCAACAGAGUGAGAUUUGAGGGCAAGCAUACCGGGAAGCUAAACAUAAUCGCAACUUCAAGCCUAACCUUUUCAAUUUUAAAAGAUCCUGCAUUCUAAAAUGGACCAAACCAUUAUCAAAACAUUCAGAAUUCUAUAUAGGCUAUACAGUGUCUAGGAACAUUCACAAUUAUUAAAACCAAUGAGGAGGUUAUACCUAUUGUUACAGCUAAUUCCUUCGCUUUACAUCAUCUUUAAAUACCUACAAAUCGUAAGAUUGAAAACAUGAACAAACAUAAAGCAAUUAUAGUAGAACAAAAUAUGAAAAGUAAUCAACUACAUCCAUCAAACUGUAAAACAUGAUAGCCAUACCUUCAUACCUUCCCAAUCAAUGACCAAUAUCCCAAAGCCAUAGCCGAGGAUAAUCCAAACCCCUGAAACGUAAAUUGUGAUAUCAAUUGAAAUCCAAUGAAAAAGUGAAACCAAAGUACACAAAACNNNNNNNNNNNNNNNNNNNNUCUACGGAGGAAGUUUGUAAUGUUUUCUAAUAGUUCUUAUUAAUUAUUUGACCGGAGACAAAUACAUUUUUUGACUGUAUUGUUGCAUGUAACGUAAACUAAUGUUAAAAGCGAAAAAAUAUUAAACGCACGCGUGAGCUAGACCCUUUCUAAAUAAUAUAUUGCACACAUAGAAACUUUCUUUGUGAUAUCAAACAUAUAUUUUAAACUUUCCCGAUGACUAUCCUUGUGAUAUCAAACAUCGAAAUUUAGAGUUUUUGUAAUAUCUCAAUAUUUCAUUUCCGUAAGGAGAAAUUUUAUUCACACGUACUAAAUUUCUUAAUGCACACCAUUAUUUUUUGGAGUCACCACGGCUGGAACUGCACAAGGGCUUAAACUUUCUCUGAUCAAGCCUUUCUUCAUUGCUCCCCCUAGCCCCUGCAGUUAAGCAGCAAAAACCCAGCCUUCCUCAUCAGUAUACCCGUUUCUAAAGUUCUUAGAAAAAAAAAAAAAACCGACUGCUCCUCAAACUACUCAGACCUCAUUUAAAUCAAUAAUAAAGUAAAAUGACAUUAGACAUAAAAAAUAAUAUUUAAAUAAAUAAAAUCGGGACAUCACACAAAUGAUAACCCAUAACAAACAUUGAAAUCAAACAAAGAAUUACCCAGAUUGCUACGCCAAUUGACUGCACAUGAACAACAGAAAAGCAUUGCACUAUAAUAAGAGGAUGGUGAAAAACAGGAAAGAAGAUUGAAGCAAUUGAGCUAGUACUUACAUUCACCAUAUUUAGUUUCCAGCCAGGUCCAGUUAUCUCUCUAAUUUUGUAUUCUGGUGGCACUCGAGAGCAAAAAGAAGAAAGAAAGAAAAAUCAGAUUGAAACUCAGAUUAAGCAAAGAUGAAAAUUAAAUCAAGCAGAUGAAAGCUAAAGUUUUUUUUUUUUUUUUUGAAGCCACUCUACAAUUGAUACAAUUUUCUUUAUUUCGGUACAUUGCAGGUAAAAACUGUAACUUGACCUGAAAAACUGCUUAAAAAUGAAACUCAAAUUAGCAAGCUAUGUACUGGAAUUCGGUACAAUCACUAAGCCUUGGCAAUGUGCUUUAUGUUGAAUGCUCUUGAUAAUUAUUAUUAUGUAGAACCACACAUUAUAUUUAAGUGCGCAUGUAAAAUAAGCAAAAUGCACAGGACUAAUGUGGGUUAAACAGUAAUACCUCAACCAUGAGAACACCAGGCAUAAAGUUCUCAUUGAUUGUCACAUCUUAAUAAGCAACAGUUGAAACCCCUGGGUUGUACUCGAUCUCUCUAUCCACCAAAAGAAAUGGAAACCUGUAAAACACCCAAAAGCCAAAAUGAUCAAAACUUUAGAAACAAUCACUAAAUUUUACUAGGCCUACCUAUAUUCUCUUCCAAGCUCACAUAAGUAAGUAAAAUCAUUAAAUGAGUUUUGUAGAGCAUUUUGAUAAUAUGUAAGGUUUAUACUUUCUGAAGGAAUUUGUAAUCUAAGAAUACUAACUAACUAUCAAGUAGGUGUUUAGGCAUUCAUUUGUAUGUUGGGCGGUAUAGUGAAAAUCAACUUCUUUUUAAAUCUGCAAAUAGUAUACCUUCACUCACAUUUCCAAAUAAUAGAUGAAAUGCAGGGCUCACAUUGUGCAUCUCACACAUAUGGCAUGUAAAUUGCAGUCUAUGAAUUGGAUAUACCUGUGACGCAGACCACUUUUCAACACUUCUUUUCAAGCAACAACAGCUUGUACCUGAAGCAACGCAUAUAGAAAAAGCACAUAAGCGUAAGAGCAUAGGCAACUAUAAGCGCACUUUAACAGUUAAGAAAAAUUAACAAUAUCAUUUCCAUAGGGUUUUCAUCUGAUGAAACUUCUACCCUAAGAUUGGGUAAUGUAAAUCAUAUACAGAAAAGCUGAAAACUGAAUAACUCAAUNNNNNNNNNNNNNNNNNNNNAACAGCUCUUCACUAAAGCAUGAACAAAAGCGAAGAAGAACGCAAUCGACUAAAAAAGAAAAAACAAAAUCGGACCACCAACUAAGAAGGAAAUCCAAGAAAAAUUCGAACCAAACAGAACCUAAAAGAAAAAAAAAAUUUGAACAGUGAAUUGGUGAUAGCUAUACCGAUUUGCAGGCACCGAUAUGAUUCAACAAAACCACUUCAAACCGCAGCAAUCUGUCAUCCCAAAUCGAAAACCAAUCACCCGAAUCGGUCUGGUAAUAAGGAUGAUCAAGAGAAGAGAAUAAUUGUGAUCGAUGAACAAAAGGAAAGAUAAUAGACGAACCAAAAAGAAAGAGAAAAGAAAUUUACAAUAGAUAAAAGAAGGCUUACUCCGCUCUACUCAACUCUCGUUUCCUAUACUAUAUCGAAACAGAACAAGGGAGAGGUGGAGAGGUGGAGGCUCGGCUUAACAGAAUUAGGUGGAGAGAAGAAGAUUGGGCAAGAGAGAGUAUGAAGAAAGUUCGCGAACACAUCACUCUGUUUGUGCUAUGUCAUGGGGGGCUAAACGCUGCUCUCUUUUCUCUCUCAAUUUUUUUGGGUCGAUUUUCUCUCAAAUUCUCUAGGAUCUUCUUUUCUCUCUCUGCGUUUCUGGAAACUGAGUAAAACAGAGCAAAAUGCACUAAACCUUGGAAUUCAGUCCUUCAAUGAAGUUCUGAUAUUUCAAAAAUGCACAGACAGAUAGUUCUCUCUCCAAUUUUGUAUUCUGGUGGCACUCAGAUAGCAAAAAGAAAGAAAAAUCAGAUUGAAACUCAGAUUAAGAAAACAUGAAAAUUAAAUCUAGCAGAUGAAAGCAAAGUUCUUUUUUUUUUUUGAAGCCACUAUCAUAUACUGGAAUUCGAUGCAAUCGAUCAUUGAGGUCCUAGACUACAGCACAAACAAUAACCCGAAUCAGCUCAAAUCAAGGAAACAAAAUACCCAGUCAAAAAUCACAAUCUGCAUCACAUACAUUCUUCAUCAGCAUACACGAAAAUCAAACCCAAAACUGCAUGCACAAAAGUCAGAUAUGUUAAUCAUUCAAUUUAAUUCAAUCUUAUUAGUGUUAAACAUGCAUCGACAUCAAAUAAAAAAAAUGAAAUUGAAACCUGGAAACGAAUAAUGAAGCCGUCCUUUUUAUCGAUGUGAAUUACCCAGACUGCUAAGCCAAUUGACCAGACAUGAACAACAGAAAAAGCAAUUCACUUUAAUAAGAGGAUGGUGAAAAACAGGAAAUAAGAUCGAAGCAAUUGAGCUAGUACUUACAUUCACCAUAUUUAGUUUCCAGCCAGGUCCCGUUAUCUCUCCAAUUUUGUAUUCAGGUGGCACUCAAUAGCAAAAAGAAGAAAGAAAAAGAAAUUAAUAUAUAAUCUUGUACAUACAUGAUUGAUAUAUAAUCUUCUAAAACGAUUAUACAAAAAUUAGGAAGUUCUACACACCUUUGUGCAUUCAUAUCUACCUCAGUUCUGAUUGCUUCCAAAGAGUGUCAUCAGCACCCAUAUGAGACUUGAGUACUCUGUCAGUAUCUAGUUGCCUGCUCCCAUGUGUUGCCUGAACCAAAAGAUGCAUUCACCUGGCUAGUCCACCCACCACCCCCAGCUGUGGACAACUAUAUAUCUGCAUACACAUUUGAUGAAUUUAGAAACAUGAGAUACGCACAAACACACAAGCAUGAAGAGAUCAUGAACAAUCAAACCAAAAUUAUUGACAUGUUAACCUUUGCAAAAUAUAAAACGUAGAACAGUUGUUAAGAUUGAUUAUAACAUGAAGUUGACAAAAAGAUAACUGAAAUAAAAAAGAGAUAACCUUUCUCAUGAAAGCCAAAGAAACGAAUGUCUAUAAUUUCUUGACCACUAUACAAAACUUUGUGAGCCAAAAGCUAAAAUGACUAAUGAAAGGAUAUAGUUGGGGCAAGAAAAUUCAGCUCUCUUUAUGGCAAUUGUAGGGUGGAGGUCAAAAAGAAGAUUGAUCUCUGUGUUAAAUUGUUUCUCCAAUCGUGCUGCCAAGAGGUAUGAAAUACAAAAAGGGGUUUAGGACCAACAAGCUCAAUUUCAUAUAUUACAUGGCGGGCUCUCACGUUGACAACACCGGAUGAAAGAAGGAAUUUAAGUCGCAGGAGGUUGAUCCUCAACAUCAGUCCUAUUAGCCUGAAAACUGAAAUUAAGCAAACUCAGGUUACAGUCGAUUAAAGCGUAGGGGCCUCAAAGGUGCUCCGCAAUCGGAAGAUGUCAGCAGAAGCAAUCAAAAAAAGAAAAAAAAUAACAAGAUAGAGAUAAGAGGGCUACCUGAAACUGUUCCAGCUUCUUGGAUGGUGUAAGCUCCUUCAUCCAAGUAGUACGGCUUUUGAUCAAGGAAAAUAAGUAAUUAUCAUCAGCAACAAAUCACAAUCACACAACCGAGACCAAAACAGACACCAAACCAAAAAAGAAACAAAUCACCUAUAGUUGAAAUCUGGAAACCGUAAGGUAGAAGAUCAAGUGAUUCAUCAUCUGCCAACAAAUCACAAUCACACAACUGAGACCUAAACAGAUACCAAACCGGAAAAAAUAAAAAGUAGAAACAAAUCCACCAAUAGUUGAAAUCUGGAAACCGCGAGGAAGAAGAUGAAGUGAUUCAGAACACCGCUGGCUGUUAGGUGUUACCUGAUCGUGAGUACUGACUGUAAUACUCAAACUCGUACUCCAUCAGUCAAACUUGUACUCAUUCUUCAGUUCAUCUCUUUACAUCAGGAUAAUCCACAAAACAGAUACUUGAAUUAAUUUUGGCUUAAAGUAAGAGUGCUGAUCUAAAAGUGAAUACAAUAUUUAGUGUGAAAGACGAAUUCCUUACCAGAUUUAUAGGAUCUAAACCAGAUUGUCUUUCCACAGGUUCCAGAGCUGCACAUUUACCUCAGGAUAAUCCACAAAACACAUACUUGAAUUAAUUUUGGCUUAAAGUAAGAGUGCUGAUCUAAAAGUGAAUACAAAAUUCAGUGUAAGAGAUGAAUUCCUUACCAGAUUUAUAGGAUGUAAACCAGAUUGUCUUUCCACAGGCUCCAGAGCUGCACAUUAAUCACCAGAAAGAAUUUUAAGCACAUUUAAUAGUAAACUCCAACAGUUUUUUUUAACCUUAACAAUACUAAAAGCAAAAGUAAACAAGCAAUCAUAUGAUGAACCUUAAAAACAAAGGAACCCAUGCUUUUAAGGCCUCUUGCUGUGACUGAACCCCUGCAACAUUGAUACCAUGUACAAAUGAAAGGAAUAUAUUACAAAACUGAUACAGCAAUACUGAACUUGAAGACCAUGACCAAGUUGAAAAAUCCAUGUUGAUAUGUAUCAUUUCAGUUGGGAUAAAAUCAAGCUAUCCAUAUCCAUAUAGAUGCAACAGCAUGUAUAUCAAACCUAAAACUCACUUUCCAAGCAUCAGUUUUCAUAUCUAGUCAGUCCCAUUAAUCCAAUUAAUACCAGCUCUCUAUAUUCACAACCUUCCCAAAGCAAACACCCAAAUUAUAAUCAAUGCACAUUGCACUUCAGAUUAGUACUGUAUCUGUUCUUAAUUGAGCUUACAUCAAUACUGAUAUCUGAUUGAAGUCUUUAUUAGACUAACACAUACUUUAUAAAAGCAAAAUUGGAACUUAAAUCAGAUAAAACAAAAACAGAGUUCUAACAAUACUCAUCUUUACUGCACCCGUGUCACCAAUCUGUCCAAGCUCUAGUCUUUGCUUGAGCCACACAGCUUCCCCAGAAGUACCAACCUGAGUAUACAAACACCAAUUACAUCUAAGGGAAUAUUUAGAAACUCGAUAAAAAACUUUCUGAUACCCCAAGAAUCUACACACCGCGAGCCAACACACGAUAUCUAGCUGCCAGUAACACUUCACCUGAGCAAUUCCCUAGGAAUCAUGAAGGACAACAACAAUUUUAGAUGCUAAAAUUAAUAAAUUUUAGCAAUUCCAUAAGAAAUUUUAAAUAUUUUACUGCAUAUAUUCUUUCUCACAAACUCACCUUGAUCUAACACAAAGGAUUGAAACCUUCAAGAUUGUGAUUGCUUUUGUUAAAUCAAAAAUCAGUGAGCUGCAUGCAACUUCAAUGAUAAAAUAUGGUGAUCUAAAUUGUUGUAUAAUUUGAAAUCACUUGUAAUAUACAAAAUCUGAUAGUUAUAGUUGAUCAAUUUCAAGUUGCAUGCAACCAUAUCAACUUUAUAGCUGAUAUCCUUGACCUUUACUUAGGUGCACUUGAUGUCUCUGUUGAUUUUUGAUGAGAACAUGAAAUUCUCAUUAAGCCACAAACGGGCAAAGAAAAACAGAAGAAACGCUGAAAAGAAAAACACGAGCACUGGAAACAACCAAGCUAGGCUAGCAAAACUAAGCAAAACAACACAAAGAACACAGAAAACACAGCAGAACUUUAUAUUGUUUUAUUCUUAUGCAGAUUGUAUAGAAUUUUCAAUAUGGUCAUAUUCUAGUCUACAACGCCCAAUUCCCUAUUUGGUUAUAUGAUAUAAUCAUGCCUAACUGACAUGGACUUGACAAGAAUUACAGAAUGAUAUUAGAAGGAAUAGUUCAUAGACAACUAACCGUAUAAAGUCGGUAACCAUUCAUCUCCUGACGGACAAAAUACACAAGACUCUGUGGCCAAGUUGAUCCACUGGUCAAGCACAUUAGAUGGCUUUUGUAGAGUGGCUUGAUCAAUAGGGACAGAAGGGGCAAACCGUUCAAUCUCAAGUCUCUUUGCAUUCUGAACAAGGAACCUAUAGGCAUUGUGCCAUGGGAGAAAUAUGUCCUUGACCUGAAAUUAACCAAAGGUAAAAGUACCACUGGAUCAAUUCAAAGAACAAAGAUCAACAAACAGCACUCCAAUAUGAAAACAAUAAUACCGGAAUAGAUGAAUGACACUCAGAACACAAUAAACUCCUUCCUUCUUGAAACGUAAUGGUUGCGCGCGCACAACAAGGAGUUAAUUAGGUAUAAUUGUACUGCAUCUUGCACAACAGAAAUUUGAUUAGACAUGAUUUUUGUGAAAUAUAUCAUCUUCCCACCAUUUGACAAAGAAACCAGGAAGAGAAAAGGCACAGAAACUAUAAUACGAACCGUCAGUUACAAUAAACACAUACAGCUACGUACUGAUCGAUAACAUCAAUUGGUGGAGGAAAAUUUUUCAGACUUUCUCAUUUUUUUUCCAUCCUCAGCAAGUACAAGUCCAUUGCAAAUGAGAUUCUGCAAGGCAGGUUUGCCAAAUAAUGCAGUAGAUAACACCAUAAGUGUGUGAAACCUGCAUACUCAGAAGGAAACAAUGAGGCCUAGCUUAGACAUUGGAAACUUGUGCCCAAGUUAGGAUAACAGCUGACACAAAGGAAUCUAAUCCUACAAUAGGCAGCCGACAGUCAUUAUAUUAAUUAAAAAGAAAAAGAAACAACUUAUGAACAGGCAAAAGGGUUUUCCUAUUAGUUACCAAAAUAAACUCCCUAUUAUGUUUCCAACUGUACAUCAUAUUUUUUGGAGUCUUCAUCUAACACUCGAAUUCAUGUUAGUUCGAGGGCCUGAAGCUUGGGAAGGGCAAUCUACAUUAGAUAUCUGUGAACCUUUCUGAGGGUAGAUCCUUCUCCCUUCAUAAGUCUGCCAAUGAAUCUGGAGAAUGGUAUCAAAACUAAUAAAAGAAAUAUAGAGGAAGAACAGAGGACAAAUGUUUGUCUAGUGAUGAAAUCAGAUGUUGUAGAUGAAAAAUAAGUAGCUGAUUUAUCAUACCUGAAAAAUUUAAAGAUAAACAGUUGUUCAGUUCCUGAAACACCUAUAAUUUCAGUUAACCCCUAAUGAAUUGUGAAAGGAGGCUGACCUGAGAGUCGUUCCAAUACCUUAAGUCAGAAUUAUUUGACAAUGAUAGAAUAUCUUACAUCAAAAAAGAAAAAAAAAAAAAAAAAAAAAACCAAAACUGAACUCAGCAUAAACCAAAAGGUCUGAUCAAUCAAAGAUCAUAACGAAGAAAAAGAAAAUUGAGGGAAAAGAGCAAAAGUGGUUUUCAGGGAAUGUAACAUGACUGCAGACUCUCUUGCCAAGACAAGCAUUGAUCAUGCUCCGGAUCAUAUCACCUUUGAGAAUCCUCCCGUUCAUGCUAUUGCUGCCUAUUUAGAUGAUUUGGAUGGUAUUGCUAGAUCAAGAAAGUCUGGGAACUCUGCAGAGUGGAACAAUGGAAAGAAAGGGCUAGUAAAAAAAAAAAAAAAAAACCGACAGUGCCCCACAAGUCUCAUAUACAGAACUUGAAAUUUAUACAUUAGAGUUUGAGGGAAAAGAAAUAAGGCUAUAGGUGAGCAGAAAAGUAUCCUAACUAAAGUGUAUUAGCAUAUAAAUAGUUCCAUAAAGAAAUUUUUGUUGAAAAUUAACUGUCCCAAACGAAUUCCUAAACCCAUCAUGAAAGUGAAAGCUACAUCUAAUUGCAUUAGGGACCUGCAAAUAAGACAUUUUUUCUAUUUCUGUAACCUGAUACUACAACUACCUCCCAGUAAAUAGAUUAGAAUGUCUCUUUUCUCGUCAAUCGCCUUGCUUAACUGUUUCCAAAUAUCUACCCUUCACAUAUGCACUUGCUUCCCAAGAAAUAGUAUCUCUAUACAGUUCCGUCACCAUCUGGGUCAAUGGCUUAGCACCAAAUAUAUACAAACUUGCACCAGAUUAACUGGCCCGUAACUAGAAAAAUUUCAAACGUUUAAUGAAUUGUUUUGUAGCCCUAAGAAUAAUUCCCCAAUUAUAGAAUUCUGGCAGUUCCGUCUAUAUUUUUUUCGAACACUAGCACAGAAAAGUACCCGGACCUUAUGACUUAUAUUUGUCAGAAGUAAAACUAUUUUCGCUUAGAAAGGCCUCUUUAAUUACCUUAAUUUGACUUGUUUGAUGUGUUGUCGAGUUGAGUUCAUCAAACCCCAAUUCACUUUCUCUAACAUGAUCCUACUAGAUACAUGCUAGAGAAAGAGGAUGGAAAAGAAACCUCAUGGUCGAAACAAGAAUCUUGAGCCCAAUGGUAAUCAUAGCCAAAGCUUACCAUACGCAAAAUAUAACUGUCUCAGACAAGAAAAAGAGAUGUAAGGAUUACAUAUAAUAUACCUGUACACAAAACCAAAAUGCAACAUGUGUCGUUGCUCAUAUCUUGUUUGCUUAAUUUCAACUUUCUGAACCUAUUUUACCAACGCAGUCAGUGAAAUCAGUAAAAAUUUGCAGAUGUGCAAUGGACCUAGAAAUUUAUUAUUAAAUUGUACAAGUUAUUAUCAGCAAAAAGUGGACAUAGGGGACUAUCUGAAACACUGUUAUAGUUGAGAUGGACAUUAAUCAAAUCACAAGUUUAGUAUGGAGAUUGGUUUCAAACUUCCAGCAGUAAGUGGUAAGGCCUAUAUCUUAAAGCUAUUCUGUUAUCCUAAGAUACGCAAGGCUGAACAUGUUACUUUUCAUUAGUACAUAACUAGUUGCUAAAAGAAGUGGAAAUGAAUACUUACUUAACUAUCACAUGUCCAUUAGUGUUGGAGUGAAUCCUUAAGGAAAGAGGCUCAAGUUCAAAAUAUGAGAGAAUUAUCACAUGUCGAGCAACCAAACUUUACCAAAGUACUUUUGUUAGGAAGAUAUACUCGCGUUCAAGAACUCAAGGUCACCCAUUUAGAGAAGAUGCUACAAUAUAAUCUUAUGUCAAAAUUCUUACUAUUGGAUUGAUUUUAAUGUAAAGGCCAUAUAGCAACACAUACGAUAUGCUUCGCACGAGGUCUUCAACAAGAGUACUUUUCUUGCUGCGCAUCCAUACCUUAGUCCGAAAUAUUGGUUGCUUAUUUCCAGUGGCCCUCAUGUUGGUAUUUUGUGAAGAGUGUGGGUUUCUCUCUCGUAUUUUCAUAUGUAAAAGAUAUGCACAUGAAAUGAGAAGCAGGUAAACUGAUUUUAACAAAUCAGAACUGCACAUUGAUUUAUAAGCAAAAAAAAUAAGAAUAAAAAAUUUGCAAAACAUUCGAGGAGAGCAAGAUACCGAAAUUGAAUAAAUUUGCCACCUAAAGGUGCCCCGAAAGUUGUCCAAAAAUGCCCAGUGCUCCCUACUAGAAAUAGAUAAGCAGAAAUGUUACUCCAAAUUUAGUAAAUCAGACACCCAACAAUAAAAUUAUAUAGUUUUAGAAAAUAAUGAGAAAAGAAUAAAAUGUUACUCUAAAUUUAGUCAACGCACCUUUACCAAAAGAAAAUUCACAGAAGCAACUGAGAGGAUAAAUAUGAUACUUCCAGACAAAAAGAAAUACAGAAAGUCAGAGAAAUUCCACCUCCUUAUUACAACUGUAAAACAUAUCCGGCUUCAUGUAGAUACGAUAGGUAUGUCAAGGAAAUCAAAAGCCAACAAUGGACAUCCCAUUGGCUUUCAAAUGAAAAUAUGCCCUCAAAAUGAGGUAUUGACGUAAAUAUUGCGAAAGCAAUGGUAAGAACAGGUAAAUUUCCUCGGAAGUUUCUCCAUGGAGAAUCGGACGCAUCCUGUGAAAAACAAAAGGGUAUAUAAGAAAGAUAAUAUUUGUUUAGUGUUUUUACACGUUUAGUACAUGGUAUGCAUGUCACUUUGAUGCAGUACAUAACAUACGGACAUGAAACAUUUUUCAGCCAAGAUGUCUUUAUUGACAAUGCAGACAUUGAAACAACAAAAUAUGCUAAUGAAAUCUGUGAUUUGAUCAAAGUUGUUUCUGUUCCUUUUUGUUUUCUUCUUCUUUCCUAUUAAUUUUGAAAAUAAUUGACCAAUUCAAACGUUCAGGAAACUUAGUUGGUGAUUUGGUAUAACAUCACACUUAGGUGCACUUGAUGUCUCUGUUUUAUUCUUAUGCAGAUUGUAAAGAAUUUCAAUAUGGUCAUAUUCUAGUCUACACAACUAAAUUCCCUAUUUGGUUAUAUGAUAUAAUCAUGCCCACCUGACAUGGACUUGACAAUAAUUACAUAAUGCUAUCAGAAGGAAUAGUUCAUAGACAGCUAACCGUACAAACUCGAAAACCAAUCAUCUCCUGACAGACAAAAUACACAAGACUCUACUUUGUGUGGCCGAGUUGAUCCAUUGGUCAAGCACAUUAGAUGACUUUUGUAGAGUGGCUUGAUCAAUAGAGACAAAAGCAGCAAACCCUCCAAUCUCAAGUCUCUUUGCAUUCUGGGCAAGGAAUACGUCUAGAAUGCAAAGAGACUUGAGAUUGUACCAUGGAAGUAAUACGUCCUUGACCUGAAAUUGACCAAAGAUAAAAGUACCACCGGAUCAAUUCAAAGAACAAAGAUCAACGAACAACACUCCAACAUGAAAAUAAUACAGGAAUAGAUAAAACACACUUAGAACACAAUAAACUCCUUCCUUCUUGAAAUGUAAUGAAACAACAGGAGAGUUAAUUAGGUAUAAAUCGUACUGCAUCUUGCACAACAAAAAUCUGAUCAGACAUGAUACUGAAACUGUAAUACGAACAGCGAGUUACAAUAAACACAACAGCUGCAUACUUAUCUAUAACAUCAAUUGGUGGAGGAUAAUUUUUCAGACUUUUUGCUCGUUUUUGCUUUCCAUCGUCAUCAAGUACAUGUCCAUUGCAAAUGAGAUUCUGAAAGACAGGUUUGCCAAAUAAUGCAGUAGAUAACUAAGAGUAUUAGCAUAUAAAUAGUUCCUUAAAAAGAAUUUUGUUGAAAUUUAACUGUCCCAAAUGAAUCCUUAAACCCUAUAUGACACCAUGAAAGUGAAAGCUACAUCUAAUUGAAUUAGGGACUUGCAGAUAGAAAGGCAACCUUAUACUACAACUGCCUCCCAGUAAACAGAUUUGAAGGGCAAUGUCUCUUUUCUCAUCAAUCUCCUUGCUUACCACAGAAGCUGUUUCCAAAUGUCCACCCUUCACAUAUGCACCUUCACAUAUGCACCUGCUUCCCAAGAAAUAGCAUCUCCCGACAGUUCCGUCACCAUCAGGGUCAAUGGCUUAGCACCAAAUAUAUAUAAACAUGCAUCAGACUAAUUGGCCUGUAAUUAGAAUAAUUUCUGACUUUUGAUGUAAUUAGAAUAAUUUCAAACUUCACCUGUACGGCCCUUUAACCUCUUGUGAUUGCACCUCACAUAAAUAUUUGUCAAGUUGUCGAGAAACUUCAAAAGAUAUGGAACCACCUCUAAAGUAUUGUAUACAAGAAUUAGAAUCAGAAGUGGAUUGUUUUAACUGAAACAGAGAUGUUUUACUCAUAAACAAUGGAACUCAAAUAUAAUGCAAAACUGACAAGCUUUAACAAGAGAACAUAUAAACCACACAACCAAACUGCUUUUGGAAACCUCAAAAACCAGUUCCAAAAAGAAAUCUCAAAUAGAAUGCGAAUGAACUAGACUAAGAACUAGACUAAAAGAAAACUCAAUUUUAAUGACAUUAAGUAAAUAAGUCAUUAAGUAAUUUUGACAAACAAAAAGAAACAAAAGAUUUAAAUGACAUUAUAUUUGAAUUUAUGAAAUUCCAGGGAAUCCUCAUCUAAGUAUUAAGUACUGAUUAAUUCUAAGUAAGCUCCCUCAGAAAGCUUAAAUAUCUAUCAAAACCCCACCCUGACUCUAAAAUAACUUCUAGUUAGGUACAAAAAAUUUCCAGCACCAGUUAUAUAGCCUUGUUUCAUUGCACUCAAAAACUAUUAAGGAUGCAGAUAAAUGGAAACAUACAGACUCGUUAAAAACAAAACAUUGCUUCACUCAUAGCAGCCUUUGUAUUAGUAAAUGCAUAUACAUUAGGAAUUCAUAUAUUCUGCACUACAUAUGUUCUGCAUUAGAAUAUAAGAGAUUUUUUUUUUUUUUGUCGAAAUCCCCUUUUCCCAGAAAUAUGAAGCUACCCUUGAUCUAAGGUUCUGCUAUAUACAGAUUCUCGUAAAAAUUAAGGAUUCAAAGAUAAUAAAUGUAAUUCUGCAACUGAGAUUCCAAAAGCACACCAUCAAUGAAUAACACCAAUCAAAAUUCAAGGUAUGCAAUUCAAUAACCACCUAUAAAUCACUAACAGUAAAAAUUAAUAAAACAAAUCAACGAAAGCACAAAAAAAGGAUGUGAAAUCCACACCACACCCCAAAUUAUAAUCCACACACCCACUUUCCAUUUUCAGUAAUCAUUUUCAUAUGAAGACAAAAUUUAAAUCACUAAGGACAAAAUUUAAGUUACUAAAAAUAGAAAGUGGGUGUGUGCAUUACAAUUUGGGUUGUGUGAAUUUCACUUCCCCACAAAAAAAUUGAAAUCCCUAACAGAUAAGGACCAAUACCCACAAUUUCCGUUUUAUGGACUUUGGAUAAGCCAACAGUUCGCGUCCUUAUUUUGCUGAUCGAUCUCAAUGGCCCCAACACCUUACUCUUCAUGUAGAGUGAGAUUCAUGUCGAUCUAAAAUUCCAAACCAAGCCUGAAUCUAGAACCACAUAAAAACCAAAAUGUGCAACUAAUCAAAAACAAAAUUAUUGAGGAAUCUUAGGCUAAUUAAUGAGAACAACAAAAAGUUAAGCACACCAAAAUUAAUUAGUGAUGGCAUGAAAUUUAGAAAGAAACUGUAACCAAAAAAAAGAAAGAAAGAAAUUAAGUCACAGUUAAUGUACUGCAACAACAUUGGAUACAUAGUUGAACAUUAAGAAUUUAUGAUCCAUUAGAAAUGCAUACGACUUGCAGAUUAUGAAUCUCUAAUGCAAGACUGGUUUUUAUUUAAAAGUAUGAAAAAGGCUAGCCUAGUGAUAGCUUGGUUCCAUAGGGUUACAUCAUCAAUACGUCAAAAAACGCCAAAUUGAGGACCGCGGCUAUAUGGAAUAGUGAUAUGAUCUAUAUUGUGCCGGUGAAGAUCAAUAACCUGUUAGAAUCAACAGAAAAUAUUCAACUCAUUUGCAGUAACAAAAAAUAUCAAGAGAAAACUACAAUCUUUUUCCUUUUGUUAUAUAGGCCCCCUACAUAAGAUAGGCUCCCUACAUAAGAUAGGCCCCCUACAUAAGAUGGAUAUAGUUCUACAGAUACAGGACCAAUAUCUACUAUAUGAAUAAGGUAAGAUUAGUUAGCUUCCCAUCACCUUCCUUCCUUCUCCUGCCUUUGACAAACCCAAAUAUAAGAAUAUUAAACUUCUGCAUUACCGAAACCCCAAAUCAGUCUCCAUCAUUCAGUCACAGAACACAGAAAAGAAAAAAGAAAAAAAAAUGAAGCAAUCCCGGAACCAGCACAACUCACCUGAUCUUUCAGAUGAUCAAGAGACUUGAGUGAGGUAUCUGAGGCUUAGCGAGGCUUCCAAGCUUCAUGAAACCCUACCGAAUAGGGUCAACAACAAAUCAUACCGAUUAAAAAAAAAGUGUGAUAAUUAAGAAUAAGGUUUACUUGCUUUUUGCCUAAAAAUUGGUCCAUCCGAGCCUCCCAUCUCCCACACUUACGCAAAGUCGCUCUAUAUUUUGAGCUACCUCUAGGGAACCCAUCACUUUGUCGGGAAAGUACAUCCACACAUUCCUCCUUUGUUAAAUUGCUCAUCUGUUCAGCAACAUAUUACAAAAGAAUAUAAUCGAUCUUACCCACAUCCUCAAAAUCCCAAAAACAAAAACACCAAAAAAUGUAUAGCGGGUUUUACUGUUGAAGACAAGUUAAAAACUGUUCAAAACUAGGAUGUAUGCCCGCGCGUUGCAGCGGGUUAUGUAAUAGAUAUGUGCAGCCGGUUCGACGAAAAAUAGUAUAUAGUUAAAUUUCCUGUCAUAUUGUCACUACACAGAGUUGUAAGAUGGAGAGUAAGAGACAAAAACAAAAUCGUUGUGAACAGAAGACAAAGUCCCUGAACUCAUAUUCUCUAUAGAAACAGGACAAAGGUGAUGCUUGCUAAUUCACACCUUUCAUACACACAAUGGUAAAUUAGCUAAAGUUGCAUAUGCAUUAAUUCAAAGUAGUACAGUAUCUCACAUCCUUUUGCAGUCCAAUUGCAGGUGUGAAAAAGAACUUACAUUCAUGUAAAUAAAUGACAUAUCAGGUAUAUCACACACCAAAUUGAAUCAUAACAUUGAAAUUGCUAAUAUGGAGGUUUGGAUAUUAUUAACAACAAUGAUAUAAGAAAAUGCAAAAAGCGGAUUGCAGUUGGGAAUGAUAUUAACAAUGUUAGGAAAAACCAAAAAGGACCAAAUGUUCAGAGAUUGAUCAUUUUAAUCUACUUGCUGAGAUAAUCCAAUAGGUUAAUUACCUCAGCGGUUUUUAAUUACCUAAGCUGUCAGUACGCCUUUCCCUAUUGACAAAUAAAAUCAGGCAGUCAGCUACUGUCAUUCCUACUGUCGAAAUUUGCAGGCACAUUUCUUUCUUUUGUAGGCUUACCAACUAAAAAUGAUUAAUUGGUGAUAGGAUGAUAGGAAGACAAAAGAUGUGGAUACUCAUACUCAGAAGUUCAAAAUUUAGGAUCUAGAAAAUUUACCUUUGCAAUUGUGAAACUUUUUGAAGGAUCAGAAUUUUUUUUUCUUCUGUUCUUUUCUAAACCCCGCAAACAAAUAUUAAAGAAUAUAGUGGAUUUAAGUGUUCAGCCAACAUUAUUCAACCCAAUAAAAGUCCACCAAAGUGACCGUUAUAAAAGGGAGGACCAAAAAUACAUAAUUUGCAGCAAACUUUCUAUAAAAUUGAGUAUGAUUUCACCUAGUCUCCUGAAAACAAACCAUCAAAAUAUGACCUAACAGAGUUUGAAAGUUAAUCAUAGAUUAUUAACAUGCCCAUAACUAAAGGAUUUGCCAUACAAAAAAAUUCCCAGAAUUUGAAAAUAUCCCUAGCUCAACUACCUCUACUGCUUACUCAACUACCUGUUCAACUGUUCAGAGUGCUUGCCUGACAAAGCUCAAAUCAAAGCAUAUAGGAUGGAACAUUAUUCACAAAAUAAAAGUAUAAAUUCACACUAACGGUUCCUCAAAGUCUGAAAAAGUAUAUAACCAUACAUGCCAUUUGAGAAUAUGGUUUUUCCUAAAAACCUAUCUAGCACUAAAUCUUCAAUGCAGUUGAAUUUUUCAAAAGUAAAAAAUAAGCAGUUGAAGAACAAAAUUACCUAUAGCUUUCGUCUGGAAACAUUAACAAUUUGGUAUCUGGUACAUAACAUGGAGUUAAAUUAGAUUCAGAAACCAUACCACACAGUAACACUCGUAGUUUAGCAACCCAGAGUGCUAAUUUAUAGCUCAAUAAAAAAAUAAUCAGUAACAGUAAAAGGUAGUACCUUCCUUUGCUUAUUCCAUCUUCAAUUAGAUCUUUGCUGAGACCUAAGAGCACACGAGUGUUUAGAGAAGUCCUUCUGAAAAAUCGAUUACUUCUAAGAUAUCUGAAGACGUGAAAAAGCAUUGCAUAUUAAACCAUGAUACACCAAAGCCAAUCACACGAACUUUCAAUCCAUUAGACGCAACUGGAAAAAUAAAAUCACUUGAAUUGAAAAUGUAUUACGCAUAUCCAUCUUCUUAUUUCCCAGCUCCAAAUCCAAAUAUAUAUAUCGAUGUGAAUUACCCAGACUGCUAUGCCAAUUGACCGGACAUGAACAACAGAAAAAGCAAUUCACUUUAAUAAGGAGGAUGGUGAAAAACAAGAAAUAAGAUCGAAGCAAUUGAGCUAGUACUUACAUUCACCAUAAUUAGUUUCCAGCCAGGUCCCGUUAUCCCUCCAAUUUUGUAUUUAGGUGGCACUCAAUAGCAAAAAGAAGAUAGAAAAAGAAAUUAAUAUAUAAACUUGUACAUACAUGAUUGAUAUAUAAUCUUCUAAAACAAUUAUACAAAAAUUGGGAAGUUCUACACACCUUUGUCCAUUCAUAUCUACCUCGGUUCUGAUUGCUUCCAAAGAGUCAUCAGCACCCAUAUGAGACUUACUACUCUGUCAGUAUCUAGUUGCCUGCUCCCAUGUGUUGCCUGAACCACAAGAUGCAUUCACUUGGCUAGUCCACCUACCGCCCCCAGCUGUGGACAACUAUAUAUCUGCAUACACAUUUGAUGAAUUUAGAAACAUGAGAUCAUGAAGAGAUACACACAAACACACAAGCACGAAGAGAUCAUGAACAAUCAAACCAAAAUUAUUAACAUGUUAACCUUCGUAAAAUAUAAAACGUAGAACAGUUGUUAAGAUUGAUUAUAACAUGAAGUUGACAAAAAGAUAACUGAAAUAAAAAAGAGAUUUCCUUUCUCAUGAAAGCCAAAGAACGAAUGUCUAUAAUUUUGUGAGCCAGAAGUAUAAUUCUAAAGGAAAGCUAAAACGACUAAUGAAAGGAUAUAGUUGGGGCAAGAAAAUUCAGCUAUCUUUUAUGGCAAUUGUAGGGUGCAGGUCAGAAAGAAGAUUGAUCUCUGUGUUAAAUUGUUUCUCCAAUCGUGCUGCCAAGAGGUAUGAAAUACAAAAAGGGGAACAAGCUCAAUUUCAUAUAUUACAUGGCGGGCUCUCAAGUUGACAACACCGGAUGAAAGAAGGAAUUGAAGUCGCAGGAGGUUGAUCCUCAACAUCAGUCCUAUUAGCCUGAAAACCGAAAUUAAGCAAACUCAGGUUACAGUCGAUUAAAGCGUAGGGGUCUCAAAGGUGCUCCGCAAUCGGAAGAUUGUCAGCAGAAGCAAUCAAAAAAAGAAAAAAUAACAAGAAGAUAAAGAUAAGAGGGCUACCUGAGAUUGUUCCAGCUUCUUGGAUGGCGUAAGCUCCUUCAUCCAAGUAGUACGGCUUUUGAUCAAGGAAAAUAACGAUAGGGCAGGUAAUUAUCAUCAACAACAAAUCACAAUCACACAACCGAGACCAAAACAGACACCAAACCAAAAAAGAAACAAAUCACCUAUAGUUGAAAUCUGGAAACUGCAAGGUAGAUGAUCAAGUGAUUCAUCAUCUGCCAACAAAUCACAAUCACACAACUGAGAUCCAAACAGAUACCAAACCGAAAAAAAAAUAAAAAGUAGAAACAAAUCCACCAAUAGUUGAAAUCUGGAAACUGCGAGGAAGAAGAUGAAGUGAUUCAGAACACCGCUGGCUGUUAGGUGUUACCUGAUCGUGAGUACUGACUAUAAUACUCAAACUUGUACUCCAUCAGUCAAACUUGUACUCAUUCUUCAGUUCAUCUCUUUACCUCAGGAUAAUCCACGUUACAGAUACUUGAAUUAAUUUUGGCUUAAAGUAAGAGUGCUGAUCUAAAAGUGAAAACAAAAUUCAGUGUGAAAGACGAAUUCCUUCCCAGGUUUAUAGGAUCUAAACCAGAUUGUCUUUCCACAGGCUCCAGAGCUGCACAUUAAUCACCAGAAAGAAUUUUAAGCACAUUUAACAGUAAACUCUAAUAGUUUUUUUAACCUUAACAAUACUAAAAACAACAGUAAAGAAGCAAUCAUAUCAUGAACCUUAAAACAAGGAACCGAUGCUUUUAAGGCCUCUUGCUGUGACCGAACCCCUGCAACAUUGAUACCAUGUACAAAUGAAAGGAAUAUAUUGCAAAACUGAUACAGCAAUACUGAACUUGAAGACCAUGACCAAGUUGAAAAAUCCAAUUUGAUAUGUAUCAUUUCAGUAGGCAACUAUUCAUAUAUUCAAGUGCAUCUUCACAACCCAAUUCUCUAUUUGGUAAUAUGAUAUAAUCAUGCCCGACUGAAAUAGACUUGGCAAGAAUUACAGAAUGCUAUCAGAAAGAAUAGUUCAUAGACAGCUAACCGUGUAAAGUCGGUAACCAUUAAUCUCUACACAAGACUGUGUGUGGCCAAGUUGAUCCACUGGUCAAGCACAGUAGAUGAAUUUUGUAGAGUGGCUUGAUCAAUAGGGACAAAAGGGGAAAUCUCUUCAAUUUCAAGUCUCUUUGCACUCUGGACGAGGAACCUAUAGGCAUUGUACCACGUCCUUGACCUGAAAUUAACCAAAGAUAAAAGUACCACUGGAUCAAUUCAAAGAACAAUGAUCAACAAACAGCACCCUAACAUGAAUAGAUAUAUAACACCUAUUUUUGUCAAAUAUAUCAUCUUCCCACCAUUUGACAAAGAAACCAAGAAAGGUAAAGGCACUUAAACUAUAAUACAAACAGUCAGUUACGAUAAACACACAGCUACAUACUGAUCGAUAAAAUCAUUUUUUUUCCAUCUGAGCAAGUACAAGUCCAUUGCAAAUGAGAUUCUGAAAGGGAGGAUUGCCAGAUAAUGCAGUAGAUAACACCAUAAGUGUAGAACCGGGAUCAUAAUCGGAGGGAAGCAAUGAGGCCUAGCUUAGACAUUAGAAACUUGUGCCCAAGUUAGGACAAAAGCUGACACAAAGGAAUCUAAUCCUACAAUAGGCAGCCGACAGUCAUUAUAUUAAUUAAAAAGAAAAAGAAACAACUUACGAACAGGCAAAAGGGUUUUUCUAUUAGUUACCAAAAUAAACUCCCUAUUAUGUUUCCAACUGUACUUCAUAGUUUUCAGUUUUCAUCUAACACUAGAAUCCAUGUGGAAAGAAGUAUCAUUGCCACACAUGUACAUACAUAAUUGAUAUAUAUAUAUAUAUACUAGAAAUUAUACCGGUGCCUUGCUACGGGAUUUAUUUGCCAAAACUAAACGGAUACUUUUUUUUUCAUUGGACAUGUUAAAAGUUCAAAUACUGAUGGUUCACGUGAUGAUCUUGGCCUACCCAUUUGGAUAGGAUAGGCACAGAUUGUGAACAGCAACACUAAGAACCACCACAAUUCAGAUAAUAGAUGAAACUGCAUCCAGGAACCCAGAAAGAGAGGUCGAGUGCCUAGAAUCUUGUACAGAAGUAAAAAAAAGAGAUUAACUUUCUCAUGAAAGCCAAAGAACAAUGUCUAUAAUCCAAUGACCACUAUACAAAAAUUUGUGAGCCAGAAGCAUAAUUCUAAAUGAAAGCUAAACAAACUAAUGAAAGUAUAUAGUUGGCGAAAGAAAAUUCAGCUGCCUUUAUGACAAUUGUAUGGUGGAGGUGAGAAAGAAUUUUGAUCUCUGUGUUAAAUUGUUUCUCCAAUCGACCUGCCAAGAGGUAUGAAAUACAAAAAGGGGUUUAAUACCAAUUAGCUGAAUUCAAAAUCAUAUAUACAUGGCGGGCUCUCACCUUGACAACACCGUGUAAAAGCAGGAAUUGAAGUCACAGGAGGUUGAUCCUCUACGUCAGUCCUAUUAGCCUGAAAAUCAAAAUUACACAAGUUCAGGUUACAGUCGAGUAAAGCCUAGGGGUCUCGAAGGCGCUCCACAAUCUGAAGAUUGUCAGCAGAAGCAAUCAAAAAGAAAAAAAAAACAGAAAGAAGAUAGAGAUAAGCCGGCUACCUGAGUUUUUUCCACAUGAAAUAGUUGAGCUUCUUGGAUGGCGUAAGCUCCUUCAUCCAAGUAGUACGGUUUUGAACGAGGACAAUAACAAUAGGGCAGGUGAUUAAAAAAUAUAGAAAAGAGAGCAAAGAAUACCAAAAUUCAGAUUCACAAUAUAAAAAACGAAAUAACAAACUUAGGAGAAGUAAGCACACCUAAAAAAAUAUAACCCCCUUGCACACAGAGCACCACCUUCAAUCUAAAAUCCAAUUCCAAAACACAUGCAGAACAACAAACCAAACAUUCAGUAGGCAAGCGAAAUACUUAUCAAAGUUAAGGAAACAUUCGAGUGACUACAAUACUCAAACUCGUACUCCAUCAGUCAAACUUGUCAAAGUAAAAAGGAAGCGAAAUACUUAUCAAAGUUAAGGAAACAUUUGAGUGACUAGUGACUACAAUACUCAAACUCGUACUCCAUCGGUCAAACUUGUACUCAUUCUUCAGUUCAUCUCUUUACCUCUGGAUAAUCCACAAAACAGAUGCUUGCAUUAAUUUUGGUUUAAAGAAAGGAUUGCUGAUCUAAAAUUGAAAAUAAAAUUCAGUGUGAAAGAUGAAUUCCUUACCAGAUUUAUACGAUCUAAACGCGAUUGUCUUUCCACUAAGCUCCAGAGCUGCACAUUAAUCACCAAAAAGAAUUUUAAGCACAUUUAACACCAAACUCUAAUAGUUUUUUUAACCUUUACAAUACUAAAAACAAAAGUAAAGAAGCAAUCAUCACCUUCCCAGCAGCAUUGCCUUGUACGAAGAAAGGAAUAGAUUGCAAAACCGAGACAGCAAUAAUGAACUUAAAGAGCAUGACCAAGUUGAAAAAUCCAUGUUGAUAAGUAUCAUUUCAGUAGGCAAUUAUUCAUAUAUCAAGUGCAUCAAUCAUAUUGCAUCAAAUAAAGUAUUCCAAGCAACCAAUUUUGAUUAAAAUCCUUAUCAGACUACGCUAAACAUAUAAUGAAAUCAGAAUUUACUCACAGCAUUGCAAGACUGAGGCAAUAGAUCAGUGACACCAAUUCCCCUGAUAUAUUGUUGUGCUCAGUGGCAACAAUAUCAAAACGAAAACGUCAAAAGUCUCAGUACCUAAAUAUCGUAAACUUCGGACCACAAUUGACAUGGGCACUUACACUGAGAACAAAUUCUGCAGCUGAUAAGUUCUUGAGGAAUCAAAAAUUUCACAAUCAAGCUAUGCAUAUAGAUGCAACAGCAUCUAUAUCAAACCUAAAACUCACUUUCCAAGCUUCACUUUUCAUAUCUAGUCGGUCCCAAUCCAAUUUAAUACCAGCUCUUUAUAUUCACAAACUUUCCAAAACAAAUACCCAAUUUAUAACCAAUGCACAUUGCACUAUCAACGCCAUAUAUAAUCUGAACCCACAAAAACCCACCAAAAAUUGAAAAGCAGCAUGCUUUAGUACAAUAACGAUUGGAUCAAAUACACCUUAUAAACCCCAACGUAAUUCUAAUUAAACACUUGCUUUGAAAGAAAACAUAUCAAUAAUUAUACCUAUAACCCAAAAAACCAGAAUUACCUUCCCUAUUCUUGCUGAUGAUACGCUGCAAAUUUCGUCAAGAUUGGAAAGAGAUCAACAUGGAUCAGAAACAGUUCAAAUUUCAAAAAAAGAGCAACGAAGAUCGAAAUUCAGAUUCACAGGAAGUAAGCAAUGAUGGAAAAAUAUAACCCCCUUAUAGCCUCACACACAGAGCACCACCUUCAAUCCAAGAUCCAAUUCCAAAACACAUGCAGAACUACAAACCAAACAGUUAAAAAGUAAAAGGUAGGAAGCAAAAAUACUUAUCAAAGUUAAGGAAACAUUCGAGUGAACCCAACCGUUCUUAAGUAAAACUGUUGCACAAUUCCUAAAUGUCACUUUCCUUGGCAUGCCUUUAAUAAAGAUACAGAGAAGUCAUGAAAAGGUUAAAGCUCUUCCCUUUUUUCUAUUUUCCUUUUGCUGAUUGGUUUGAUCCGAAUUGAGAUAUUGUUCGGUAUCAUUGAUAAGUACUAUCAAAAUCGGGUUUACAUACAAAUAGGGGCUUGGGGAAACAAAUUCAAACAAAUAGGAACUUCUCACUAAGUUUUAAGGACAAUUCUCACGCACGAAAACCAAUCUUUUAAAACUCUAAUGGAUCAGAUAAAAACUGUAAAUAAACAUGACUUGAGAGCCAAAAACCCAAACUAAGUGUAAACUUCAAAAAUUCAUUUCUCACCUGAAAUUGAACAAAUAGGAGAAGCUUUAGAAAUCUGGCUCGAAAAUCAAAUCAGACGCUGACAAUCACAGCUACUGAAAUCCUCUUGAUCUAACAAUCACAGCUACUGAAAUCCUCUUGAUCUCAGUCACAAAAAAGCGGUCUCAAUCCAAAAUUCGAUACCCAUAUCUCAAAUUGCCAAUAAAACGAAAACCUUGAAUCAAAAUCAAAUUCAUCAGUAAAAAAAAAAAAAAAGAUAACCCAAAACCAAAACUGAAAUCAAACAAAAAAUUACACAAACCAAAACGCAUUACACUUUAAUAAGAGGAUGGUGAAAAACAGGAAAGGAAAUCAAAGCAAUUGAGGUAGUAAUUACAUUCACCAUCUUUAGUUUCCAGCCAGGUCCAGUUAUCUCUGCAAUUUUGUAUUCUGGUGGCACUUGAAAGCGAAAAGAAGAAAGAAAGAAAGAAAAAUCAUAUUGAUACUCAGAUUAAGCAAACAUGAAAAUUAAAUCAAGCAGAUGAAAGCAAAGUUUUCUCUCUUUGAAGCCGCUAUAUAAUCGAUACAGUUUUCUUUAUUUGAGUACAUUGCAUGUAAAGUUUGUUACUUUACCUGAAAAACUGCUUAAAAAUGAAACUCAAAUUAGCAAGCUACAUACUGGAAUUUGGUGCAAUCCUUCAUUGAGGUGCUAGACUGCAACACAGACAAAACCUGAAUCAACUUGAUCAAGGAAACAGAAAACCCAGUCAAAAAAACAAUGUGCAUCACAUUCUUCAUCAGAUAAAACAUGUUGUUAUGUUUGAAAAGAUAGUGACUGCCAAAGAUCAAAGCAAUUGAGCAAGUACUUACAUUCACCAUCUUUAGUUUCCAGCCAGGUCCAGUUAUCUCUCCAAUUAGUAUUCGGGGGUACUCGAUAGCAACAAGAAGAAAGAAAGAAAGAAACGAAAAUCAGAUUGAAACUCAGAAAGAAAGAAAGAAACACAGUUUCCUUUAUUUGAGUACAUUGCAUGUUAAGUUUGUAACUUUACCUGAUAAACUGCUAAAAAUUAAAAAUCAAAUCAGCAAGCUAUAUACUGGAAUUCGGUGCAAUCGAUCAGUGAGGACCUAGACUGUUCUACCUAGACUGCAGAACAGACAAACGCCGAAUCAGCUCAAAUCAGGUAAUGGGAAGGGUUAUCCUUCUUGAAAUGAUAAGCUCAAUCUCAAACAGUAUAGAAACCACACAAAAACGGAAUGAAAAAAUUUGAAAAUUCAAAAGCACUCAACUUAUCUAUUCGAUCUGAGCAGAGAAUUGGGAACUUCCUAAAUCUAUAGUCCCACGAAUCCAUCUUGGGGAAAAUUUAUAUUGCACUCUUAGCAUUCAAACACCAAAUUUCAUGCCAACACAAAAAAAAUUCAAAUGAAAACACAAUAAAAAUUCAAAUGCAAACGCAAAAGCCAAUAAAGUCAAGCAUAAUAACAUCAAGAACAUACCUGAGAAACUAACAAAUUGGAUCCCGCCCAAAAUCAACCAAACUCAACCAAGCACAUGUUAACAAAUCCUCCACAGAUUUUCACUCAAAGAUAUCUCAUCGGCUCUACACCGAAAACGAAAAAAAAAAAUAAUGGAUAAAACCAAAACAAAAGGAUAAGAAAUACCGAGACAUUAGAGCACAUAAGAGCACUGGUUUUCAAAACACUAUCUCUUGUCUUUUAACAUACCCAUCUGAGGAGGGAGGUAAUCAAGAGUGCCACACAUGGUCCGCCUGCGAUUGAAUGUGUGUACUGACCACCCAAAAUCUGCUAUCUUGAGUUCACCUUGACAUUAGAAAUCUACAUUGACAUGAAUAGCAACAAAUAUGCAUCAAUAAGUCAUAAAAAGGAAACAUAUAACAGCAUAGUAAGGCAUUCAGCACCUGUUGACCAAUGAGAAGGUUUUCUCGUUUGAUAUCUCGAUGAAUUACGUGCUUUCCAUGACAGUAUAUAAGGGCUCAGGCCAAUGAUGCAACAUACUGCAAAUACCUCAUACGAAAAAAACAUCAGAAUUUCUAUUCUAUAAACAACUGAAAGAGAAUGAAUUAGACACCACAAAAAAACUUACGAUGGCUGCACGUCUUUCACUAAAGUAUUUACACUUUUGGAGUUCCUUGUAUAGUUCACCUUUGGCGGCAUAUUCCAAUAUCAAAUAAACUCGUUUCUGCAAUUAAAAUUCCACUACAAGGGUGAGUGACUCUGUACCAUAGUGGUUCCAUUAAUUAGGAGACGUUCAAUUUGGUGCAAACAUAAAGCACCUAUGAGCACUAUACCUGAUCAUAAAAGUAGCCAUAAAGACAUAGAAUAUUGGGAUGGCGAAGAUGACUUUGUAUUUCAACUUCCGGGGAAGCUGAUGCUCAACCUGAGAUUGUUGCAACUGGCUCUUGAAGAGGACUUUGAGUGCCACUAUGUGAUUGCUCUGUUUCAGGCAUAGAUACAGAUCAAGAACUGUGUAUACACACCACUAAAAGCAGGUAAACAGAGAGAUACAACACCACGAUGAUGCAUAGCAAACACUCAUUUCCAACUUAAAAUUGCAAAAGGAGAUUCCACAUCAUUUGAUAAUAAAGCACAUUGUCGAAUCAAGAUCCUCCUUAGUUAUAACUCUUUCCAAUACAUCUUUAGACAACUCUUGCAACCGCCUAAUCAGCCAUCAGAGAAGCAUUCAGGAACAUCUAGUCAUGAUAUCUGCAAAUUCCGAAAGUGAUUAUGAGUUCUCCUUUGAGCAAAAAACAGGCAAAUUAGGAACAUUAAGAACAUCAUCAAUACAUGGUUGAUAGUGGGCAUGUUAGAUUAACACAGAAGAUAGUCUCAUACAACACGAAAACAAAAGCAAUAUAUUAGGUCUUAUUAUGAUUAUAUUAAAAUACAUGCUUUGCGCUAGAUACAUAUGCAAUGCAAAAGAUCUAAUAGUAUGAUUUGCAAGAAACACAGUUUAAUAGAUACCACCAAGUCUAAUAGUAUGUUUUCCAAAUAAAAAGUAAUGGACACAGGGGAUAUCUAUCUUAGCCUGAAUUAGAGAUUGGAUACACAUUUGGGAUAUUUGAGAGGGAAGUGAAGGCUUUUAGAAGAGCACUAAGAGAUAGUGUAACACCUAAACGAAUAUGCUCCUUGAAUACCUAUGAACCUCAGUUCGUUCAAAAUCUCAGGAAAUCAACGGAAACAGGAGAACAAAGUUCUUGGUUUGCAAGCAGGAACUGAAGAAAUAAAAGAAACCUACCAUCAAACUCACAAACAAACAAUGAAUCUAAUUCUCUAAUCACAAUAAUGAUCAGAGCAUUCAUAAAAAAAGCUACAUUACUAUGAAGCCUUUUACUAUUCAAAGCCCAGAUCUUAAAAAAGGACAUGAAGAAUAAGGAAGUAGUGACAGGAUAGCUGAUUUUGGAGUACUAUGAAGCCUAAUUACAUUUUUAUAAUACAAAGAACAAAAGUUACCUGGAUUACUAUUUGUUACAUACAAAUUAGAACAAUAAAGAAUAGUUUGAUCUAUGAAAAACAGAGAAUAUUAUUAUUAAGAGAUGAUAAAGAACAAAUAGCAAAAUGAAAAAUAAAAUUUAAAAGAAUAAACUGAGUAACAUAUGAAGAUGGAAAAGAAUAAAGAAUGAGUUUAUAAGAGAAAGAAUGACAAUAAUGUAUUACAGUGCAACACUUUCUUGCAGUUCUCAAAAUGCGCUCUCUUGGAUUCUGAAUCAGUUAUACAAUGUAGGACCUCACUCUCACCAUCUGUUAAAAAAGAAAAAGGGAAAAAAAAGGGACUUCAGACAAUAACAAAAUAGAAUUACUACAAAAUCCACAGCAAUUUAUACAGAUCCCCUGAAAUCAAAUUAAGUAGAGUACUCUACUCCAAUUGCCACGCCAAAAAAAUGAAACUGAAAUGAAGUAGCUAUUUUCAUGUGUAUAUUAAUUCCUAGUUUGACACUCCUCAAUGUACAUACCACACGUUACACAGCUCUUCAAAUUCCAUUUGCUCUAAUCCCUGUUAGGCUACCUUCCCUAGAAAAUUUGCAGUUCACCUAAACCGCAUAUACCUAUGGUAAACUGAACACCGGAGCAUCACGUAUGCCUAUGCCAACCUAAACGACACCAUAUGCACAACUCUGUUAGCAGAGUCAACCAUUUACAUCGUAAAAGGUAAAAGAAAAAUGUUCACUUCUACCUUUUCACUCUCAAGCUCUCUCAAGCUCUUUCCUCAGUCCUCUCAACGAAUCUUCAAGUCCUCUCACUCAUUAUGAAGAGCGGGCAUGUCUGUCUUGACAUAGAUCAUUAUAGCCCCUACGAAUUUGUUCACUUCUUUUUAUUUACUCUAUUAACUGAAGAUGACCUAUACAUAUUUGAAAUAUUUGAAUCACUGUUAUAUUAUUAAAAGGAUUUUGAAAUUAAAGAUCAAAACAUUUGAACUGAAGCAUUAACCAUACCUCCAUUACCUUGAGAACUGAUGAAUUGGAAAUCACCCAAAAGAAACCAGAACCAAGCAUCAACAGUAGACCAUAGUGAUUACUAAACCAAACCUCAAAAAAGACGACCAGCAGAAAACCUAGAAUCAAAAUCAAAUUCACCAGUAAAAAACAAAAGAUAACCCAAAACCGAAACUGAAAUCAAACAAAGAAUCUAUGCCAAUCGACCCGACAAGAACAACCGAAAACGCAUUACACUUUAAUAAGAGGAUGGUGAAAAACAGAAAAGGAGAACAAAGCAAUUGAGCUUGUAACUACAUUCACCAUCUUUAGUUUCCGGCCACGUCCAGUUAUCUGUGCAAUUCUGUAUUCUGGUGGCACUCAAAAGCUAAAAGAAGAAAGAAAGAAAGGAAAAUCAUAUUGAUACUCAGAUUAAGCAAACAUGAAAAUUAAAUCAAGGAGAUGAAAGUAAAGUUUUCUUUCUUGGAAGCCCCUAUAUAAUCGAUACAGUUUUCUUUAUUUGAGUCCAUUGCAUGUAAAGUUUUACCUGAAAAACUGCUUAAAAAUGAAACUCAAAUCAGCAAGCUACAUACUGGAAUUCGGUGCAAUCGAUCAUUGAAGUACUAUACUGCAGCACAGACAAAACCCGAAUCAGCUCAAAUCAAGGAAACAGAUAACUGUGCAUCACAUUCUUCAUCAGAUAAAACAUGUUAUGUUUGAAAAGAUAGUGACUGCCGAAGAUCAAAGCAAUAGAGUUAGUACUUGCAUUCACCAUCUUUAGUUUCCAGCCAGGUCCAGUUAUCUCUCCAAUUUAGUUAGUAAUCGGGUGGUACUCGAUAACAAAAAGAAGAAAGAAAGAAAGAAACGAAAAUCAGAUUGAAACUCAGAAAGAAAGAAAUACAGUUUUCUUUAUUUGAGUAUAUAACAUGUAAAUUGUAACUUUACCUGAUAAACUGCUAAAAAAUGAAAAUCAAAUCAGCAAGCUAUAUAAUGAAAUUCGGUGCAAUCGAUCAUUGACGUCCUAGACUGCACAACAGACAAACGCCGAAUCACAGGUAAUGGGAACGGUCACCCUUCUUGAAAUGAUAAGCUCAAUCUCAAACAGUAUAAAAAUCACACAAAAACGGAAUAAAAAAAUUUUGAAAAUUCAAAAGCACUCAACUUAUCUAUUUGAUCUGAGCCGAGGAUUGCGAACUUCCCAAAUCUAUAGUCCCACGAAUCCAUCUUGGGGAAAAUUUAUAUUGCACUCUUUGCAUUCAAACACCAAAUUUCAUGCCACCAAUUUAGACAAGAAUGCAAUUUAAAAGAAAAAUGCUAGCAAUUAGACAGAAUUAAAUAAAGAAAAGCAAAUAUACAGAACCACUUACCCAUAUUUCUCUUCUCCUGUCUCAGCCCAAAAUAUGUUAACGAAUAUUCCAGUCUCUUCCUCACAGCAAAACACAACAACCCUGAAUCCGCCAUGUUCGGCCUCUCUUACAAAGAAUAUCUGUUUGAUGAACCUCUGCAUGUAAUUAAUGUCCUUUGUAUCAAAAUACCAAUUUUACAAAUUCAAAAUCAGAAACGAAAAUUCAUUCUUUGAAGUAUAAUCCACGUGCAUCUGCAUUGAUCACAGUUUUCACAGAAAUACUCGUCUCUAUAAAGGAGAAGCCUUUUUAUGCACAGUACGUUUUUGUACAUUAAUUGUUUACCUAAAAGACUAAACCCACAUACACAUAGAAAAGGUAGCAAAUCACCUAUACAAAAUCUGGAAUCAACUAAUACAAACAAUUUUGGCCAAAUCUUUUUUUCAUUGUUACAAAAAAAUAAAUUAAAACAGAAGUCCCCAAAGAUUCCCAACUAAAUGAAUAAUAUAGAAUUGUUUGAAAUCUUGAAUGUAGAAGAAGUAGCACAUACCUAUGAACCUCAACACCAUCAAAACUUCAAGCAAACUACAUAAACAGCAAAACCAAAUUCUUUGUUUUCGAGCAGGAACUUAAAAAGGAAUAAGAAAAAAAAAAGAACUACCAUGAAACUCACAAAUAAACAAUCUUACCAAAUAAUAAUAAAGUAUUAAUCAAAAGCUAGNNNNNNNNNNNNNNNNNNNNAAAAAAAAAUUACAAAGAUACUAAAAAAUUCAUGUACAUGCAUAUAACUAUCAGAUUGGGAAAUCAGUACUAAUAGUUAGAAAGGUGAAGACGAAUGGUACUAAUAGUUAGAAAGGAGAAGACAAAUGGUAUAACUAUCAUACUGAUAUUGAUCGACACCAAAAAUUUUAGUGCUGACGAAACCUAAAUUGACCCAAAACCUCAUUAUCUUGAUACUUGAUUGAAACCCAAACUCGCAACAACAGUGAUCAGCGAAAUCAAACACCUUCUGCAUUAAUCACCAAAAAAUCGGACCAAAGGAGAUAAGCGACCAUAUUGAGCGACUCAUAAACCCAUAAUUCAAGAUCCAAAUAAAAAAAAAUAAAAUUUCAAAGGAUGAUGCUUACCUUAGGAAACCUGAAUUCACCCAAAACGGUUAUCUCAGUUUGAUCUCCUCUCUCUGAUCUCCACUCUCUUUCAGACUUUUUCUCCUCUGUUGUGACUUGGGCCGAAACCAAGACGUAGAAAAGAAAGAAAAAGAACGAAAGCCAGGGAAGAGACACACGGAGACGGUAGACACACAUGUGGAAGUAAAUAGCUAACACCUGUCAUGCCAGAAUUGUAAAUAAGCGGAGAACGGAAGGGCAAAAAUGGCAGCCCAACGUUCCCUUAGAAACAGUAGGUCGGCCCCAGGCCGCAUAAUAAUAUAGUAAAUUGAAAAACAAAAAUGAAUGGAAUUGAAAACCCAUUACCCAUACACAUCUUCUUUCGCAGCUUCAAAACCACUCACAACUGAUUCGAAAACCUCAGUAAAGGUUUGAAAUUGAUUAUCCAACCCAGCCAAAUCCUGCAUAAAAUAUGAGGAAAACAUGACACAUCUUACCAUACCGGAAAAUCCAAAACUCAUUUGCACCACCAAAGUUGCAUGUGCCACAUAAGAAGCUUACCAUGAGCCGAAUCCCUCAAAGAUCUUACACUACAUACCUGAACACUAUAAUAGUAUAAUUAUCCUAACACAUAAUUACAACAAAAUAGGAACCCACAGCACUAAGUUGUCGUAUUGGGCUCACCCCUCCUUUUUUUCCCAAAUUCAGACCUCUUUUUCCUUCAUGAAAACCCAGAAAACUAAACUUUUUUUAAGUCAUAUCAUAGGAAGUACGAAACGGAAGAAAAUGAGAAAAGCAACUUACCGAAAAAAAAUACCAUAUGUAGAACUCACCAAGACGCAUGCCAAUACACCAAUAAUGUACCUGAAACUCUUUGUUCAACAAACCCAUUAAACCCAAUAAUGAACCUAUUCUUGCAGCAGUUGUUGCACCAGAGCUUGCAGCAGAGUUGUUGCUGGGAUAUCAAUAACUAACCUGGAAAAUAUGCAUACAUGAUUUUCAAUGGGAACUGUGGCCAUAUGCAUAUAAUAUUUGAGCAGAAACUAUCUCAUCGGCAUUUCAUGUCAUCUGACCGUCAAUCUACACCGUUAAAAAAAUGAGGUCUAAAAAGGGUCUACAACAAAACAUACCGGAUAAUAAAAUGAGUGAUAAUUAAGAGAAAGGUUUACCUACUUUUUGCCUAAAAAUUGGCCCAUCUGAGUCUCCCAUCUCCCACACCUAUGCAAUGGCACUCCUCAAUAUUUUGAGCCGCCUCUAAGGAUUCUUCAUUCAAAAUCUCAAUCUCACCUGCUCUGCAUCGAAUAGAAAAAAAAAAAAAAGUUAAAAGAAGAGGAUUAUGUGAUAGAACUAAAAGAAAAGCAUGAGAAAUUAUGGACACUGUAAUAAUCUGAGAUGCCUAAAUGGGUACACAUUUGCAGAUAACAAAAGCCGAAACUGUUAUGCCCCUUUAUAAGUUAAUCCAUCAAUCAAUAAAGUUAAACAUGCACAAAAAAAUGCAAAUCGUUUCACGUAGUUAACAAUCUAAAACAGUAUAGAUGGCACGAUAAACAAACUCGGGAUUAUAAAAUCACUUACUCAUAGUUUACAUUACUUUCUCAAUAACUUAAAUCAAAGAAAGAAGACAAUAUACAGAUAUGACCGACGUAUUAAAAAAAUAAUAAUAAAUAAAAAAACUCAAAAAAAAUCUCAUGAGAAAAAUGCAAAAUUAAUUUUACAUGCUCAGCCACACUGAAGCCUGAAUACCCCCUUUGGAGCUUCAUUUUCACCGAAAAAUGCAUACCAUCAACUUAGGAAAAAAAUAAUUCCAAAGAACCCAACAAACUUAGAUUGAUUAACGGGAUCCAAGAAAAAGCAGCCGGAAAGAAACAAAACAUAGUAUAGUGGGACAUAAGAGUAUCAGCCAAAACUAAACAGAUACAUUUUUUUUUCAUUGAACAUGUUAAAAGUUCAAAUACUGAUAGUUCACAUGAUGAUCUUGGCCAACCCAUUUGGAUAGGAUAGGCACAGAUUCUAAACAGCAGCACUAAGAACCACCACAAUUGAGAUAAUAGAUGAAACUGCAUCCAGGAACCCAGAAAGCGAGGUAGAGUGCCUAGAAUCUUGUACAGAAAUAAAAAAGAGAUUACCUUUCCCAUGAAAGCCAAAGAACGAUGUCUAUAAUUCAUUGACCACUAUACAAAAAUUUGUGAGCCAAAAGCAUAAUUCUAAAUGAAAGCUAAACAAACUAAUGAAAGUAUAUAGUUGGCGAAAGAAAAUUCAGCUACCUUUAUGACAAUUGUAGGGUGGAGGUGAGAGAGAAGAUUGAUCUCUGUGUUAAAUUGUUUCUCCAAUCGAGCUGCAAAGAGGUAUGAUAUAAAAAAGGGGUAUAAUACCAAUUAGCCGAAUUCAAAAUCAUAUAUUACAUGGCGGGCUCUCACCUUUACAACACCGUGUAAAAGCAGGCAUUGAAGUCACACGAGGUUGAUCCUCUACAUCAGUCCUAUUAGCCUGAAAAUCGAAAUUACGCAAGUUCAGGUUACAGUCGAGUGAAGCCUAGGGGUCUCCAAGGCGCUCCACAAUCUGAAGAUUGUCAGCAGAAGCAAUCAAAAAGAAAAACAAAACAGAAAGAAGAUAGAGAUAAGCCGGCUACCUGAAUUUGUUCCACAUGAAAAAGUUGAGCUUCUUGGAUGGCAUAAGCUCCUUCAUCCAAGUAGUCCGGCAUUUGAACGAGGAAAAUAACAAUAGAGCAGGUAAUUAGAUCAGAAACAGUUCGGAUAUCAAAAAGAGAGCAAAGAAGAUCAAAAUUCAGAUUCACAAUAUAAAAAACGAAAUAACAAACUUAGGAGAAGUAAGCACACCUGAAAAAAUAUAACCCCCUUACAGCCUCACACACAGAGCACCACCUUCAAUCUAAAAUCCAAUUCCAAAACACUGCAGAACAACAAACCAACCAGUUAAAGUAAAAGGCAAGCAAAAUACUUAUCAAAGUUAAGGAAACAUUCGAGUGACUACAAUACUCAAACUCGUACUUCAUCGGUCAAACUUGUACUCAUUCUUCAGUUCAUCUCUUUACCUCAGGAUAAUCCACAAAACAGAUGCUGGAAUUAGUUUGGGUUUAAAGAAAGGAUUGCUGAUCUAAAAGUGAAAAUAAAAUUCAGUGUGAAAGACGAAUUCCUUACCAAAUUUAUAGGAUCUGAACGCGAUUGUCUUUCCACUAAGCUCCCUGCACAUUAAUCACCAAAAAGAAUUUUAAGCACAUUUAACACCAAACUCUAAUAGUUUUUUCAAACCUUUACAAUACUAAAAACAAAAGUCAAGAAGCAAUCAUCACCUUCCCAGCAGCAUUGCCCUGUACAAAUGAAAGUUAAAAGUAAAAGGUAGGAAGCAAAAAUACUUAUCAAAGUUAAGGCAACAUUCAAGUGAACCCAACAGUUCUUAAGUAAAACUGUUGCACAAUUCUUAAAUGUCACACUUUCCUUGGCAUGACUUUAAUACAGACACAGAGAAGUCAGGUUAAAGCUCUUCCCUUUUUUCUAUUUUCCUUUUGCUGAUUGGUUUGAUCCGAAUUGAGAUAUUGUUCGGUCUCAUUGAUAAGUACUAUCAAAAUUGGGUUUACAGACGGGGGCUUGGGGAAACAAAUUCAAACAAAGAGGAAAUUCUCACUAAGUUUGAAGCACAAUUCUCAAGCACGAAAACCAAUCUUUUAAAACACUAAUGGAUCAUAUAAAAACUGUAAAUAAACAUGACUUGGGAGCCAAAAACCCAAACUGUGUAAACUUCAAAAAUUCAAUUCUAACCUGAAAUUGAACAAACAGGAGAAGCUUUAGAAAUCUAGCUCGAAAAUCACAGCUACUGAAAUCCUCUUUCUCUCUAUCACAAAAAAGCGGUCUCAAUCCAAAAUUUGAUACCCAUAUCUCAAAUUGCCAAUAAAUCGAAAACCCAGAAUCAAAAUCAAAUUCAUCGGUUAAAAAAAAAAAAAACAAUAACCAAAAACCAAAACUGAAAUCAAACAAAGAAUUACCUAGACUGCUAUGCCAAUCGACCGAACAAGAACAAGAACAACAGAAAAAGCAUUACACUUUAAUAAAAGGAUGGUGAAAAACAGGAAAGGAGAUCAAAGCAAUUGAGCUAGUAAUUAUAUUCACCAUCUAUAGUUUCCAGCCAGGUCCAGUUAUCUCUCCAAUUAGUAUUCGGGGGAUAGCAAAAAGAGGAAAGAAAGAAAGAAACGAAAUUCAGAAUGAAACUCAGAAAGAAAGAAACGCAGUUUUCUUUAUUUGAGUACAUUGCAUGUAAAGUUUGUAACUUUACCUGAUAAACUGCUAAUAAAUGAAAAUCAAAUCAGCAAGAUAUAUACUGGAAUUCGGUGCAAUCGAUCAUUAAGGUCCUAGACUGCAUAACAGACAAACGCCGAAUCAGCUCAAAUCAGGUAAUGCGAACGGUUAUCCUUCUUGAAAUGAUAAGCUCAAUCUCAAACAGUAUAGAAACCACACAAAAACGGAAUGAAAAAAAUUGAAAAUUCAAAAGCACUCAACUUAUCUAUUUGAUUUGAGCUGAGGAUUGCGAACUUCCCAAAUCUAUAGUCCCACGAAUCCAUCUUGAGGAAAAUUUAUAUUGCACUCUUUGCAUUCAAACACCAAAUUUCAUGCCAACACACAAAAAAUUCAAAUGAAAACACAAUAAAAAUUCAAAUGCAAACGCAAAAGCCAAUAAAGUCAAGCAUAACAACAUCAAGAACAUACCUGAGAAACUAACAAAUUGGAUCCCACCCAAAAUCAACCAAACUUGACCAGGCACAUGUUAACAAAUCCUCCAUAGAUUUUCACUCAAAGAUAUCUCAUCGGCUCUACACAGAAAAUUUUUAAAAAAAAUAUGGAUGGAACCAAAAGAAAAGGAUAAGAAAUACUGAGACAUUAGAGCACAUAAAAGCACUAGUUUUCAAAACACUAUCUCUUGUCUUUAGACAUAAAGAUGAAUUUACCAAUCACAACAUCGACAUAUUUUCUGAGAUUUUCACAAAGCAAAUUAAUUCACCCAUAUAUGUGUCUUAUUAAAAGAUUACCGACUAAAAGUAUUUUCUGGACAAAAACUUAAACUUAGUGAAUAUCUUGUACAUAGUCCAUCCCAAAGAGUGAUUAAAAUGUAAAAUGAAAUGAACCUGUGCAAUUAUUCUACAACUUCAAUUUGCUCUAAAAGGUCUUUUGCGACCUGAAAUCACCACGAAAAAUCAAAUCAAUAUGAGAAAAAGUAAAGAGAGCAUAAAAUGGGAUAUUUUUGUCUGUGGAUCAAAGUUCACAUUACCUAUUUCAUUUACCUGCCCAUUUUAGCUUAAAUGAUUCAGAUUAAAUUUUUAUGAUUGGAAAGGAAUGAGGAAAUUGAAAUUCAAUAGAAUCUGUGAUUUUAUGUGCAUAUGAUAUCAGGAACAUAUAUACCAAUUCCUACAACAUAUAUACAUGGGAUAAGUGUACACCAUAAUUUGUCUGCAACAAUAUUGCUUUUCCAAAUUGAGAUAUUCUCCUUAAUUAUGUCCCAGAAAAUUUUGUCUGCUGUUAAAUUUAUUCCACAAUAAGAUCAAAUUUCACAUACAUCAUCAAUUAAGAUUCUCACGCUAUCGCCAAAAUUGUAAUCACAUCCGGACAAUUGAAAAAAAAAAAACAAGAACAGCUCUGUUUGGCUACUCAGGGAAAAAAUGCAGCGAAAAAAAAGGGGAUCAACCUAACAAAAGGUGCAAGCUUAGAACCAACAUAUACCAAUUGAAAACGAAGAGAAUGGAGUCUACCGAAUCCAGCGUUAGUAUCAAUUAUGGAGUGAGCAGGGAGUGAAAACGGAAUCAUUACCUGACCUUCAAAAUCGGCCUUCAGUUUCAAGUUCCGGUCCUCAAGAGUAAGCCUCACCUGAAAAACCAACAUGCAUCCACUAAUAACUCAGACACUUAUUUUAUUAAUUUUACCAAUUGUGUAGUUUAUUUUCUCUGAAAGUUUAGCUGAUAGCACAAUUGUGUUCACCAUUCUCCAAUUGUAAGCAAUUACUCAAUCCAGAAAACAAAACAAUCAAAAACUAUAAAAACAAAAUGAGAUUUCUAGCAAAGUCAAGUCCGGGAGAGCCAAGAUUUUGUUUACCAUCGAAGAGAGGAGUCAGAGGACCAGUUCUUCCCAUUUCCUUAAAGACGAACUGAAAAAAAAAAUAAAAAAUUGUGCUCAAGCUUCCUGUUUCUUCUUUCUUUCUUUUUAUUCCAGUUUUGAGUUGAUCUCUGAUUCUACAGGAAAACUCAUAAAACUAACAUAAGGUAGCAUGCUAUUUUGAGGAAUUGAUCAGUAUCUUACUAAAACACACAAAAAUUAAUACAAGUAUAAGCAAACAGCACAGAGAAUGUGACAUGAAUCAAUACAGGUAUAAGCAAACAAAAGUGAGACCCAUUCAAAAACACACUGCAAAAUGAAUGCAACGAAAGUUUCAUGAAACAAACCAACCAUUCAAUGAUAGCCGUGCUGGUUUAAUAAUCUAAUGUAAAUAAAAAAGAGACCAAUCAGCCAGGAAAUCAAAUUUCUUGUGCAAUUUACGGAUCAAACAACACAGAACCAGGAGGCAACAAUCGAAUCACUGAAAUUAAAGAGCACUAAAAGACUAAUAAUCAGAGACCCAUUUCAAUUGGCAACACAUUAUCUUACCAAAAUUUGGGGAUAUAGGGUUUAUGGCCCAUCCCCUGAAAUUUUUUGAAGCCCUAAAACUAAUCAAACACAGAACUCAGAGAAAGUGAUCCUCACCCUAGUAAUCGCAGUUAUAUCACCGAGAGGGGUUCUUGGGUACCAAGAAGGCAACACACUGUUCGAUCUCUGUCCCCUUCUCCGGCUAGAACCUCCGACCGGCGGCGUAUUCUCUCUGGCUGGAGUCAUCAUCCCAAACGCACUACGUCGACGCCCGAUUCCGGUUCCCGGAGUCCUCAAACUGCUCGGUGCCACUCCACCGCCUGUCCCCCAAACGCACUACGUCCACGCCCGAUUAGGGUUUGGUAUUAAGGUGGAGACGGCGUUGUUGUUGUUUCGUCCACGCCCAAUUCAGGACAUGGUUAUCUGGAUGAAAAUGAAAAAGAGACGAGGGUUGUGCGAGCCUGCGAGGUGUGUAUUUUAGGCCCCGAGCACUGUGAUGGUAGAGAGAGACGAAAAUGAAAAAGAGACACGAGCAGAGCUGUUUAUGAAGGAGCGGUUAAAUGGGGGGUCUUACUGAAUUUAGGAAAAUUAAUACUUUUUAAAAAUUGAAACAUUCAAAAAUUAAAAUAAACGGGGCUACGUGGUACGUAAUAGCACACCUAUUAACGGUGAUCGAUGUUCUACAGGCAUAAUCGGUUACCAGGAUAUAACGAAGUAAAAUAAAAAAAUUAAUACUCUGUUUUCCCAAAAUUAAUCAAGUCUCAAUGCUUCCCAUUAUUAACUUUAAUACUCUGCUUCCCAUUUCAUACUUUCACAAGCCCUUUAUUUUUAUUACUAAUAAAAUUGAGAAACCAAAAACAGUAUUUUGGUUGAUAAAUUCUCAACAAACCCAAAACAAAGGAAACGUUUCCAUGUGUAAUUCGUUAACAAUAUAUUGUUUUUUGUUAACCAUAUCUCACCGUUGUCGAAUAGUGCUCUAACCUUAUAAUGUUGAAAAUUCGGUUUAGUCAUGAGUGUUGACUGAUUAUUUGAUAUUGAAAUAAUCCCGUGAUGUUGAAAUGUGAAAUAUAUCUACCUUUGUUUUAUGGUGGUAGAGAAAGCAAAGGUAGAGACGGGGGUGAUGGGUUUUCCAAGAAAGAGGGGUCAUGGAAGACAACUAAAGAAUAAAGAGUAUCAAAAGUUCUUGUAUGCACCAACAUGCAUGUGAACCAUCAAUCAUUAGCCAAUCAUAAUCAUUCAUUUAAUACCGUCAACUAAUGACACUAACAUCAAUAUUAAUUCUGUUAAAAAUAAUUGAAGCAAAAAAAAACCAUCAAUAUGGUAAAAAUAUGUAAGACUAGAGUAAAUAUUUAAUGGAUAAUAAAAAAAUUUGUUACAACCAGAAUUUUUUUUCAUUUGUUCUGAAGAAGUGAAGAACAACUCAACCAAUUUCAUCAUCUUCUCUUCCUUCUGAUCUGCUCCUAAACAACCAAUUGAUAUCGUGGAAAUUUUCCAACUCGAUCACUAAACCAAUGAUCUGCUUCUCUUCCCUUUGAUCUGCUCCUAAAUCAAAUCCCUUAUUUACUUUUUUAACACUUCAGUUUUCCAUCAAUCACAUCCUUAAUCUACUCCCAUAAACCCCAAUCCCCAUUCUUCCCACAACCUCAUUUCGAUCACUACAUUCUAACUUUCAAGCUAUGCAGCUUCGGCUUUCAGCCGUUCAAUACUUCAACCCAUGGAAACCCAGUAGCGUGAAGACCCAAAAAGGCUACGGCUUCUUCGAGAGACUUUUGAUGGUUUGAGAUCCAAAAACUCUAAACUCAAAACUUGUUUAUUCGAUUAACACGAAUUCUAGCUUUGAGUCGAAAUUUUCUAGGUCGGCGAUGAACUUCUUAGUUGGGGAGAUGGAGGGUUGAAACUUGAAACGGUGGAAAGGUUUUGGCUUUUACUGUUGUUCGACUUUUGGUAUUUGUUUGACUACAAACGACUAGCUAACGUUCUGUUAAGCCACGUGAAUUGCACACCCCUGGUUCAAGUACACCAUGGUGCACUGAAUCUGCUCCGCAAAGAGUAUACUUGGAAAAUGAAGCAGUCUUUUUUAAUACUGAUGAUGAUGUGGGAUGCUAGAGUGCGGCUAUUGAGACCUCCAAAUUUGCUCAGUGUACCUCUCAUUCUCUCUACACCUCCAUUUUACUUUUAAAUACAAACAUUUUCUCAUUAGACCUCCUUUCAAAUUCCUGAAAUAGCCUUGUUUUUGUAAUUCACAUAUAUAUUAAUAUAUUACUCAUUACACCUCUUAUUCACUCACUAUACCUCCAAUUCUUUUUUUUCUUUUUGCAUGCGAACAUCCAUUCCCGACCUUGAUUUCUUAAUUUUCUUUAUUUUUUGUAUUUUUUUAUUUUGCAUAAAAUGUCACUAGAUAUUCAUUUUUUGAUCAAAUUAUAAGAAAUAAUUUUCAAUGACAUCAAUUUUCGAGAAAAGUUCAUUCGAAUCAUAAAGAAUACUAUUCUCUUAAAUAUUAAAAAAAACAAGGAUUGUGUCUCAAAUUUUAUUUAUCGAUCAUCAAAUGAAUGUUCUUACAUGAACUAUUCUAUAUUUUUAUUACUUUUGUAUUUCUAUUUUACAUAUACUAUUUUUUUGUAAGUUUAUAUUUUUGUUUUUAUACUCAUGAUGAUAAAUUAUUUUAAUAAUUGAUAGAUCAUAAUUUGUAAAAAUAUUUACUUUUUUAUAAUAAUUGAUAGAUCAUAAUUUUUGUAAAAAAUUUCACUUUGUAUAUGCAUGUGACAUGUAUGAUAAUAUAAAUAUAUAAAUACUUUAAUAAGUAUGUGAUAAAACUAGAAAAUAAAAAUCAAUAAGGAAAAUAAUAAUAUGCAAUCCAUUAUGACAUUAUUAUUGAAUUAGAAAGUUUAGAGAUAAUAAAUGUAAUAUUACUUUUUGUUUAAUCAGUGUCCUUAAUAGUCAUUGUGUAAGAGGAUAAAUAUGUUAUUUAAUAAUUCAUAAUAAAGUGAGGUCAAGUGAGAAAAUUUAGAGGUCUCAAUAGCCGCACUCGGGAUGCUAAUGCGGUACUUUCUUUCUUAUUUGAACUUUUAUUGUAUUAGGGUUUCCCAAAAACAUUUUCUUUUGCGUUAACACCUCUUAAUGAGUUGAUGUGGUGCUAUUUUUAUACUUUAUCUUCAUAUCAAUAAUGUGUUUCUUUAUCUAUAAAAGUAAAUAAAUAAAUAAAUAAUUGAAUAGCUGAUUUUACUAUUGAAGAUAAGUUAUAAAAUUGUUCAUGAUAAGUUCACAGAAAACCACUAUUGAAAAAAAAACUCAGCUUUCUUAAGACAAGAAUUGAAGAACUCAAGUCAGUACUCACUUGUUUCAAGUCAUCUUCAAUGUCAUCAUUUAUGUCAGCCUCUACUCCCCUGAACUUGAUCGCAGCUCUAUCAUACACUGCAGAAAAUAAUUUAUAAUAAGUAACCAACUAAUCAUUAAAAUUCCUACAUGUUUUUGGCUCACAUUUUCUUUGAGAAAUUUUUUGUUUGUUUCCCUAGAAAAUAUAAGAUUUUUUAUGGCAAGCAAAAUAGUACUCACCAAGCAGCUGCAUGUGUUUAGGGUAUGCUGUGUUAAAUCAAACUAUAGGGUGUCCAAAACUAAAAAAAAAAAAAAAAACUUAUCAGAAAGACCAAUUUAUUUGCAAAGACAAAACAAGUGUCAUUUUGUCAAUUCAUACUUGCAUUCAUAGAAAAAGAGGUACUGAAGCUUUAAAGUGGCAUAUUUCAAUUCAUAGUUGGUGGUAUACUGAUAUACAUACUACUCUCUCACCUUAUAAAACAGGAAAAACCAUGAAUGAUGAUAAGACAAUUAAGUAUGGUAAUACUGUAAACACACACUAUUCAAACCAUAAAGUUGAGCCACAAAGAAACAUUAACAUUGUAGGUAAAGUUGAAAAAAAAGACCUACAUUUUAGAAUAGCUGCAAAGAGAAUAAGCAAACCUGAAUCUAGAACUACAUAAAAACAAAAAUGUGCAAUUAAUCAAAAACAUAAUUAUUGAGGAAUAUAAAGCAAAUAGACAACAACAUUGUUACAAAAAUUGAAGAAAAAAAAAGAAAAAAAAGGCAGACACCCAUACACCCAUCUUGAGGAAAAAAAAUUAAUAUCAACUAAACAUUUACUCUGACUCGGAAUAUACUCCUUUAUUUUUCUGCACUAUAAAGCAAAUGAAAAUAUCAAACACACUAUGACCACAGUUUGAUCUAAUUGAACGAACCCAAAAGAUUGAAAUCCUUGAUCUAACUAGAAAAAUAUAAAAAUCUAAGCAAAUACAGAUAUGACAAAAUAUGAUUUUUUCACUCACCUUGAUCCAACACAAAGGAUUGAAACCUUUAGAGCUAAUACUGGCAUUCAUCACCAUUGCUAGUUUCCAGCCAGCUCCAAUUAUCUCUUCAAUUUUAUGAUUGUUUUUGGUAAAUCGAAAAUCAGUGACCUGCGCACAACUUCAAUGAUAAAAACUAGUGAUUUAAAUCGUUGUGUUUGGCCCUUACACACAAAAUCUGAUAGUUAUAGUUGAUCAAUUUCAAAUUGCAUGCCACUUUAUAAAAGAAAUCAUCAAAAUUUUGCAGAACCACAAAUGUAAAGACAUUAGUUUUAUUUCAAAUAACAUUGCAAAGUUGAAAGAAAAGAUUGUAACUACAAAACAUAUAAACAGCUUAUGGAGUAACCUCUAUGAAUUUUUUUUAAGCUUCGAUUUGAACAGCUGCUUGCUAACCAACUCUAUGUUCUUUUACACUCCAAUAGGCGUAAUGUGAAUCAUUUCUAGAAUCCUUGUGUCAUUGUAAUUCCAGAAAGAAAAUCUUGGUUUUCUGAGCUUCUUGAAUACAGGAUUGAAGACCAGACUGCAUUUUUCAAACGUCAAUGAGACUUUCAGAAGAAAAAAAGAAAGGGCCUGAGUAUUGUGUUUGAUAUGACAUAUUUUGAAAAGUUACCUAUCAAUGACAAAGAGACCCAUAACUUACAUUCAAUAAGUAUGAAAUUCUAGGGGAAUCCUCAUCCAAGUAGACUGAAUUACUGAUUGAUUCUAAAAUAAGCUCCUUGAGACAACUUAAAUAUCCAUCAAAACCCUACUCUCACUCUAAAAUAACUUCUAGUAGGUAAAAAAAAUUUCCGGCACCAUUAUAUAGCCUUGUUUCAUUACUUUCAAAACUGUUAGAGAUGCAGAUAGAAGGAAACAUACAGAUAGAUGCAACCGCAGUAUGUAUAUCAAACCUAAAACUCACUUUCCUUCAGUCUUCAUAUUUAGUCAGUCCCAAUCCAUUAAUAACAUUUCCAAAGCACCAAAUUGCACUAUCAAUCAAAUCCAUAUAUAACUUGACACCACCAAAAUACACACUUUAUAAACCCCAACAUAAUAAAUUCUAAUUAAACAAUGAGCAUGAAAGAAAACAUUAAAUCAAUAAUUAUACCCAUAAUUGGCUUCUGCCAUUCAAAAUCAGCAUCCUCAAAACAAGAUCAAAUUUUGAUUACUAGAUAAAAACCCUAAAUCCAACCACAGCCGAAAUCUCAACCCCCAAUUAUCCUUAACGAUUUCCCAAUUUCCCAAUUUCCCAAUUCCCAAUCCCAAACCCUAUUUGACAGAGAUCAUCCACAAAUAGGCACAACAACAACAACCAAAAUCUGCCAGCAAAAUCAGAAAAUAAAUAGUUAGCCUUAAAGUUUAUAUAGUGAACAUAAGGAGACAAAAAAUUCUUAUCUAAUGAAAUAUAAAUCAUAAAAAAAUUGAAACAAUCUAAUAAACUUUUCAUAAAACUCUAACCACAGUUUCAACUAACCGAAUAUUACAGUAAAUUUAUUUGCGAACAUGUUGGACCAAUAAAAAAGAAUCCAAAACAAACCCGCCACCUGAACAUAACAGAAUACCAUAAAAUUCAUAAUUGAAUAGAAACAAUGAAAAUGAGUUCUGAUGUUGAAGAUGCAUAACAAAGUCUCCCAAAAUAAAUAAAUAAAAAGAGCAAUUCCUAUAAUAAAGCAUAUCUUCAUCAACUCUAGUACACCAUCAUUAACUCAACUAUAAAGCAAUAUUGAGAAAACUGUUUUCUAAGCAAAAUAUUAGAAACAUGAUUGAAUUGAAGUUUUAGCCGUCAAUUUAAUCCACAAGACCACAUUGGAAACAGAUUAUUCGUAUGUAAAGACUGCAACUGCAAAACAUAUUAACAUAUUAACAGACACAGUUAAGGAGUUACCUCUAUGGAUCAAAACAAAACGAUAUAACUGGUUUUAAUGACGUUAUCUUUGAAUUUAUGAAAUGUCAUUAUGAAAUUCCAGGGAAUCCUCAUCGAAGUAAGACUGAAUUAUUGUUUGAUUCUAAAUAAGCUCCAUGAGACAGCUUAAAUAUCCAUCAAAACCCCACCCUGACUGUAAAGUAACUUCCAGUAGGUUCCGACACCAGUUAUAUAGCCUUGUUUCAUUGCUUCCAAAACUAUUAAGAAUGCAAAUAAAAGGAAACAUACAGAUUCAUUAAUAACAAAACAUUGCUUCACUCAACCUUUGUAUUAGCAAAUGCAUAUACAUUAGGAAGUCAGAUGUUAUGCGCUACAACUGAAGCUGCCCAUAUGUUCUGCACCAUAACUCAUGUUCUGCAUUAGAAUGUAAGAGAAUUUUUUUAAUUUUUUUUAUUGAAGCUACCCAACCUUUGUAUUAGCAAAUGCAUAUACAUUAGGAAGUCAUAUGUUCUGCACCAUAACUCAUGUUCUACAUUAGAAUGUAAGAGAAUUUUUGUUGUCAUACCCAGCAAUAUGAAGUUACCCUUGAUCGAAGGUUAUGCUAAAUACAGAUUCUCGUAAAAAAAUUAAAGAUUCAAAGAUAAUAAAUGUUUCUUAACAACGGGUAAUACUGGAUUUUACAGGUAAUUUCACAACUAAGAUUCCAAAAACACACAAAUCAAUGAACACCAACCAAAAUUCAAGCUACAAACUCCAUAAAAUCCCAGAACAAAACUGAGCCUGCAAUUCCAUAACCACUUGAAAAUCACUAACAUUAAAAAUUAAAAAUAUAACAAAUCAACCAAAGCACAAAAAGUUGAAAUCACAAACAGAUAAGAAAGGCCAAUACCAACAAUUUUUGAUUUGGUUUUAAUUCAGUGAUAUUAACAGUCUUUUUUGGUAAUUUGGUUUCCCAUGAUGAAAACCCAAGAUUUAAUUUUAGAGAUUUUAGAGGGAAAACGGUUCUGAUAAGAAUUAGAAGGUUAUUUUUGUCAUUAUAUCUUUUUUUGUGGGCCAAAUGCUGGCCACAUCAGCAAACAGACGGCACCACCAUGAUAGAAAUUGAACUCCAGCCUUUCUUUUAUAUCAAAAUCAAAAUUUGGGUAUCACAUUGGUAGUUUUUAAAGUCUGAGUAUCAUUUUGACAGUGUCACACACACAAGUUGAGAUUUCGGCGCUGCAUUUUAUUCCUUAAAUAAUGACUUCAAUUAUUUAGCGUGUGAAAAAAAGAAAAAAGAGAAAAGGAAGGUGCUGACUGGCAGAAUGCAAGGCGCACUUUCAAAUUAGGUUGUGUUUUGUCUUUUUCUUGGUUAUGUUUUUUGCUUCAUCUGAAGAAAACGUGAAGAACCCCGUUAGACAAGUAUGGUCGAUCGGAAUGAGGAGUCGUUGCCGCAGCUGAAGAAAUCACGAACUAUAACCGGCGACGAGGCAACCCCAAUCUUCCCGGGCCCACUGUUCCCAGCGGUUCGACGCAACGCUUCGGACCAGCGCGACUUCUCGGAGCGUGACUGGGUCUUUCCGUCGUUCGUGCUUCCGCAGAAUCCUUCGAAACGAAGCAGCAGCAACAAGCACCGCGCCGCCUCCUCCUCCGAUGCAUCCGUCACCUCGCCUCAGCUUGCUGCUGCUGCUGAGAGUAAGAAAAUUAAGUUGGUGACCCCGAGCGAGUUGACUCGCCCGAGUUCGCGGACCCGGACUCGAGAUUUGAAACCUUUUUCUUUGUUGUUAUUUUUGGUAAUGGAUCCUCUAGCCAUCUUUCUUUCAUUAUUGAUUUCGAUGCAUUUAGAUCUCUCAAUUAAAAAGGAAAAUUUACAAGCACAAAAGAAAUGCCUUUUUUUAGUUUGAUAUCAUCCCACUAGUUUCCAAUAUUAUUGUAACUUAGCCUACAGACUAGACAUGAUUGUGUAUUUGUACUUGCUGCAUUUGUGCUCUUGGGACACAACGGUUCAUAAUAUGAAAUGAUAAUGGAGAAAUACAAGCAUGACUGUAUUUAGGGUUGAAUAUUGGGAACUGUUGCCAUUGUCCUACUUUUAAAUCCUUUCAUGGCUCAAUGGUGAGCAAAUUUACUGGACAGAAAUUUAAAUUCAUGUCUGGUCUAUUUCCCUGUAUUUGAUCAAUUGCAUUUAACUUCUGUUCUUGCAGCUCACUUUCAUUUGUAUAUUAUCUGUACCUUAUGCAGUUUAUCUGCGGCAAAGAGUUGCAAAGCUUGAGGUAUGUCUCAUGGUUUGAACAACUCCUAAGUUUCCCAUUUAAAUUCUUCUUUUGACAAGCUAUAUUACAUUAACCUAACACUACAUUGUGAUGCUUUCAGGAAAUUUGUAUGGAUAAAAAUAUUGGUACAUAUGGCAAUAUUGAGGCUUCGCUGUCUGAUAACAAUCCGACAAUUUUGAGUUUUCCUAAUGCCGAAAGAAGAACUGUUGUUUUGUAUUCUGUGGUCUUUACCCUAGCCAUGCCAAUUGUGUUGUACAAACAUCUUGAUUAUUUUUCCCAUUUGACGAGCCUUUCAAGAAAGAAGAAUAACAAAGAGGAGGUUCCCUUGAAGAAGAGGAUAGCCUAUAUGGUGGAUGUGUGCUUUUCUGUAUAUCCAUAUGCCAAACUACUGGCACUUCUCUUCGCAACAAUAUUACUAAUAGGGUUUGGUGGAUUGGCAUUGUAUGCUGUCAAUAAAAAUAGCUUUGCUGAAGCCCUCUGGCUUUCAUGGACUUUCGUUGCCGAUUCUGGAAACCAUGCUGAUACAGAGGGCAUUGGGCCAAGGAUAGUUUCUGUCUCUAUCAGUUCAGGAGGCAUGCUGAUAUUUGCCAUGAUGCUUGGGCUUGUUUCUGAUGCUAUAUCAGAGAAGGUUGACUCACUAAGGAAAGGGAAGAGCGAAGUCAUUGAAAGGAACCACAUACUCAUUCUUGGAUGGAGUGAUAAACUGGUAAGUUUGAGACAUUCAUGCCCAGAUCAAAGUGCUGAGGAAGACCAUUAUGGAGACUUAAAUCUAUCUGCUGCUCUUUUUUUUUGUAUUUGUUUCCUGUUUUUCUUUUCUUUUCUAUAUCCCAUCUUAUUUCAUAAUGAUGACAAAAAGAAACAAAGUAAUAAAAAAAAUUGAGAUUAAUAUAUUCAAAGCGAGAGAAGAAAUGAGUGGCUAUUCAAGCAAGAUGACAAAGAUUUGAGAAAAGUUUCAUAUUAGCUUUCCUACAGUUUACAGAAUUAGGAUUUCUAAAUAUUAUUUUUUCAUAAUUGUUGUUCAAUAUAUUAAUACAGUCUUAGAAAAUAUAUUUUAGUGUUCUAACAAAAGUGGCCUAUCUAUAAUGGCUAUAAUGGAAAAUUUAAUGAUAGUGACUAUAGUGAAAGAUGGUGAUUAAGUUUAGUGAUAAAGGUGGUGUUUUUAAUAGUUCAGUGACGAAAGUGUCAGAUUUGUCAUAGUUGAGUGACCAUAUGACACAGGAGUGUUAGAAGCUUUAACUUGGCUGUAUUAUACAAUGAAUUACAGCUACUCACAUUAAUCAAUCUAGCUGAAGACUCUAAACCAUAGUUAUCUAGUCAAAUAGUGCUGGUGGUGGGUAGUGUGAGAAUUAAUUGGUUUGUCUUCUGUUAUUGGUUUGUUUUUGUUUGUUUCUAGGAGUUUCAGUUUCCCAGCAAGUCUCAGUUGAUAUUUACUAGUCUUCGGGAAGGUACAUAGGUUGGGAGGUUUUUCCAGGAGUCCUAUUAUAUUUUAGACUCCUUUGUAUUAAAGAAGUCAGUUUUUGGAGAGAAUAUCAGAAUAGACGUUUCCUGGAGAAACCUUCUUUCUUACUCUGUAUCUCGUUGGUUCUUAGACCAUUGAGUGGUGAGUUCUUUUGAUUUCUUGACAGACACUUAGUUGGUGAAAUUUCUGUCUCCUAGUGUUGGUUGGGAAUAGGUUCUUGUUUAUCUUUUAAUCUGCUGUUCCGGUAUCACCAUAUGUGAUUUUUAGCCUAUAAGAUCUAAGUUUUAGUUCUGUAUUUAUCUUUACAUGGUUUAACAAACAACUCUUGGUUUAACAAAUACAAUUCCUAUAUUUGUUCCAUUAAAAUAUUAGCAUGGAGUUCCCUUGAUUGCUCUUCUGUUCUCAGUUUAGUUGUAAAACAUGGUCUCUAACGGAGCUUUUAUUAAGGACUCAUACUUAAAAGUAAAAGUGAAAACUAAAACGUAAUUUUACUGCAGGGUUCGCUUCUCAAGCAGCUUGCUAUAGCAAACAAGAGUGUUGGUGGUGGUGUUGUUGUUGUACUUGCUGAAAGAGACAAGGAGGAAAUGGAGAUUGAUAUUGCAAAACUUGAAUUUGACUUCAUGGGUACGUCUGUUAUAUGCAGAAGUGGCAGUCCUCUUAUUUUUGCUGACCUAAAGAAGGUAUAUUGGGGAGAUUUGAUAUAUGCUCAUGUACCCCUACUACUUCUACUUCUGUUUCUUGUCUUGUCUGAGUGUCCAGUAUACCCUCUCUCAAAAAACAAAAACAAAAAAUUCUAUAGCCGUUCUUCCGACUACUUGUAGAUUUUAUUGGGACGGCAUUAUCAACGGUUGUUGUCAGAAGUGCCUCCUAAUUUUUCAGUCAUUUUUUUUUUUGCUCNNNNNNNNNNNNNNNNNNNNNNNNNNNNNNNNNNNNNNNNNNNNNNNNNNNNNNNNNNNNNNNUCUUCUCUCUCUCUCUCUCUCUCUCUCUCUCUCUCUCUCUCCCACUUGUCUGUUUUUCUAAAUGCAUUCCUUUUCAUUUUCUUGUUCUUGAUUAGAUCUCAAGAAACUAUAUCUUGCUAUUCAGAUUAGCUUUGUUUUCUCAUUUCCAGGUCUCAGUUUCAAAGGCGCGUGCUAUCAUUGUAUUGGCAUCAGAUGAAAACGCAGAUCAGGUUAAUUCCAUUGUGAAUGCCCUCUUACAUUACCCCUUGUAGAAACUUUAGUCACAUGUGGUGUUCAUAUUUCAGAGUGAUGCACGUGCUCUGAGGGUUGUUCUCAGCCUCACUGGGGUGAAAGAGGGUUUAAGGGGACAUGUUGUUGUAGAGAUGAGUGACCUUGAUAAUGAGCCUCUGGUGAAGCUUGUUGGAGGAGAACUCAUUGAAACUGUAGUGGCACAUGAUGUGAUUGGGCGGUUAAUGAUACAGUGUGCUCUACAGCCUGGUCUUGCGCAGGUAUUGUUGUUAUCUAUACUUCUUAAAGGACCUGGUAAUCGUAGAAAUGACUAAUAAGAGUAGAUUUGACUGUAGGUAAAAAGUUUGUUUCCCUAAGUUCUAUAGAUGUGAUUUCUUUCUGAUUGAAGUAAACUUGCAUAGUAACAGAGUUCGGUGGUGUGACCGAGGUGGAAUGGGGUAGGGUUGGAUACGCUGGUUAAGUUGGGCCACUUUUUGUGCCAGGGAUUACAUGGUCCCAUAUAUAAGCAGGGUGGGACCUAUAUGGUUGUGCAAACUUCUGUUUUCCCAGCUUAACAAUACAGGGUUUGGGAAGGUCCUAAAACCUACAUUGAUAUAGGUGCUCCGAAUUCUAGCUUUAUCGUAGGAAAAAAUUGAAAGAUUUAAAUAAAAAUGAAAUCUAAGACUUAAAUAUUCCUUCCGUAUGUUUGAACUAGUCUGAUGUUAUUAUUGCACUUUGCUAUUCAUUUUCCCAGACUGUUAUGAUUACCUCACAUUAAAUGCUAAUUCUUAUAGCCAAAACUUUGAAGCAAGGCGUCAUCUAUCAUUCUCAUUGAAAAUUAAGAUCUACUUUCAAACAAAAGAUAAGAAACCCCAAGUCACCUAGCACCACCAAGUACAGAGUGGGGAGGCUUCCCGUAGUCUCCUUUCUUCUAUUUUUCUGUUCCGUUCUCCUUUGGUUAAAUCUUUUGUAGUCAAUGCCAAGUCCCUUGUGCUGACUUUAUCUGAUCCCUCAUCACAUCUUUUUCCCUUAUCAGUGAGGUCGGUCCUUCCCCCAAUACCCUCUCUAAAAUAUAUGUUUAUCCCCGAUUAGAAAAAAAUUCACUCUUAUAUGCCCACUUGCUUUUGGCAAUCUUCAUCUGAUUCUUGUGUGGUUAAGAGUUUGUUGGGUUCACUAUUAUUUGCUCAGUCUGCAAUUUCUUCUUGGUUGGUGAGAGGCAGUGGGUUCUAGUACGGCUUCAGUUUGGCGGUACUCUCAUGCUUUAGGUUUAUAAAUUCUUCUAGAUUUUUGAUCAUUUUGAUUCUGUGGGCUUGGCCAGGGAUCAUAUUUUGGUUCGCUGGUGGCUUUGUAAUUUUAGUGCGGCUUUUAUCCACUUUGCUAUCGCGGGUUUGCCCUUCUUGGCCUGUUGCUUUUGCUGUGUUGUUGAGUUUGGCAUCUUUUCUAAUUAUCUUGAUGUAAGUUAAAGUUACACUGUAAGUUAUUGAGUUUAUUAAAAAAAAAUAUUAUUAAAGGAAGGGAGUUCUGGGAAAAGUCUUAUGGUAUUUCUCAUCAUACUUUUAGCAGGAUCUUUUAUUAAAUAGGCAUCCUCAGUUUUCUCCUUUGCAAAACUAGUCUUCAUAAAGAAAAUAAUUUCUGACUUGUCACAAUGAGAAUUAACAUUAGGAGAUUAGGAUUCCAUUGAGGGAUUCCAUUCUUGACGUCAUCUAGGUUCCACUCCUCAAUGUACUUGAAUGAUUAAAAAUGUCAACCUUUUUACUUUUCAUUCAUGUAUCAGCAAUGCUAACCGUACCUAAAUAUAAAAUUAUAUAGAAUUGAAUUGCAGUCCUACUCAACAUUUGAUAAAUCCUGGACUAGUAUGAUGAUAAUGAAAUGGUUAUAAAGUUUCCUAUGAAUUUUUAGCAAAUUAGGUCGGAGAAAGGGGUUCCUCUUCGCUGUUCCUGUUACAUGCACACGUUGUUUGUAUGUAGAUUGCUGUUAAACUCAGUGAAAUUUGUCCUUUAAUACUGUUUCAAGGAUAGGAUGCCUAUGUGUUUUAGAGUUGCACACAAUACAUGCACAACCACAACCAGAUACUUGUUUAAUCCGUCUUUCUCUUGAUCCGUCUUUCUCUUGUCAUUUCUCCACCAUUAUACUGUAUAAUAUCUGUUUUUCAAUUCUGGAAAACCAUUUGUACAAGACUUUCUUUGGUAUGAAUAUAGAUAUUAUUGCUAAUGCAUUAUUUUUCUGUGGUAAGAUAUGGGAGGAUAUAUUGGGAUUUGAGAAUGCUGAGUUUUACAUCAAGAGGUGGCCUCAGUUGGAUGGUCUUCGUUUUGAAAAUGUGCUUAUUUCAUUUCCUGAUGCAAUUCCCUGUGGGAUCAAGGUGGCCGCAGAUGGUGGAAAGAUAAACUUAAAUCCAGAUGAUAAAUAUGUUAUAAAAGAAGGGGACGAAGUUCUUGUUAUAGCUGAAGAUGACGACACUUAUGCUCCAUCUGCCAUUCCAGAGGUUAUUGAUCUCUUCUCUAUGUAGCAUCAUGAAGUAGAAAAUCUAUAUUUGCUUGUAGCAACCAUAUCAUAUAACUAGAACAUAAAAUUGUGAGGACCUUUGGCAAGAUUCAGCCGAAAUCAUGCAAUAGUCGUGUGGGAAACUGUUGAACAAUUUAUCAUUAGAUUUUGGUAGCCCACUCACAUCCAUGCAAUGGUUCAGUGGGCUGUAACUGAAUAGUAGGUUGCUGUGACAGCAUGGUUGUGGGUCAAGAUAGUGGGCUGUUACUAGAAUCGUGGUGGUUGGUGACCAUGAAUGGUAGUUGUUUUUUUUUUUUUCUUUUUUUUUCUUUUCUUCUCUCUCUCUCUCUCUCUCUCUCUCUCUCUCUCUUCUUUUUCUUUUCUUGUGUUUCAAAACAAUUGGAGAGGUAAAGAAAUGAUAAAAGGUACUAAGGUAGUGCAUAGAGGAUCUGUAUAGUUGAAAGGAAAAUGUUCAUUGGUCCCAGUGUGAGUUAAGAAACAUAAAUAGUAAAAAAAAAAUAUAAUAUUCAAAGACUGGAUAAUAAAGUUGGAAGGUAACCUUUGUGGCGUAGUCAAUUGUUACAUGAAAGUGCCACAUUGUUCCUCCAAAAACAGGUUUGACACGUUCUGAUGGCAGGGUUGGAGAUGCUAUUUUGCUGUGAUUAAUGCUUAGAGAUUUAAUAUUUCAAACUAUAGCAUCUUUCUUUUCUGCUUCUAUCUCUGUAUGAGUAUAGCUAUAACCCACUAUGUUGCUCAGUCAUAAUUACUUGGUAUACACAUGCUGGUUAAAUUUACGGCACAGUUUCUGGUUGUCAGUAAAUCAUAUAUGGACUGUGUCCAUGUAUUCUGUUAUAUUUCUUAUGGAAUCAAUAAUUGUCUUACAGUAAUACUAAUAGUGUAUCUAUAGUUACUCAUUUGCUGCAAGAAAUCAACAUUGUAUUAUGACUAGUAUCCUUUAGUCCUUUCUAAGUAAAGAGAAUAUACUUUUAUUUUCCUAUUGAACAUACCUGAGUGUUGUUGUCCUUUCGGCAGGUAUGUGCUGGCCUUUGUCCAAACACUGUUGAACCUCCCAAAUACCCUGAGAAGAUAUUGUUCUGUGGCUGGCGUCGUGACAUAGACGAUAUGAUACUGGUAACUCAAUUAAUCCAUAUUUUCCUUUCCCUACAUUAGCUAUACCUGAGGAACAAAAUAGUUUUGGUUUAUGUGGGACGAGAAACAAGUUAACUAUCCUAAGAGUGACAGGAAAUCUGUUUCCUCUGAAAUCCUUGGAUUCUUUGUGAUCCUCUCUCUCUCUCNNNNNNNNNNNNNNNNNNNNCUCUCUCUCUCUCUCUCUCUCUCUCUCUCUCUCUCUCUCUCUCUCAAACAAGGCAACCUUGGUGAAUAUUAAAUGAUACAAAAAUAAAAUAAAAGGUCAUCAAGUGGAAAGUCGGAUUCCAGUCAUUCCACGAAUAACUCAGGUUUCAAAACUCUUGACUUGAUUUGUUGAUAUUCCAUUCUUCAGGUUCUAGAGGCAUUCUUGCCUCUAGGUUCGGAACUUUGGAUGUUUAAUGAGGUUCCAGAAAAAGAAAGAGAGAAGAAACUUACAGAUGGUGGACUUGAGAUUUCUCGAUUGGAGAACAUAAAACUCGUUCACAGAGAAGGAAAUGCUGUGAUAAGACGGCAUCUAGAGAGUCUUCCCUUGGAGACUUUUGAUUCUGUAUGUACCAAUCCACUCCUCAUAUUUCAGAAUUUGGUUACCACCUGCAUAAUGUUUUCAGCUGGAGCUCAACUGUUAAUUGUAGCACUCAUCAUGCCACUUGUUUCCUUGACCAUUGACACUGAUUCAAAUAUAAUAGCAUGCUAUGCCUCUAGACAUAAAUGAGUCAAUUUCAAAGUUUCCUUAAGACUACUUUUUAUCUGAUAGCUAACUCUAAGCCGACAGAUAUUAAUUCUUGCAGAUGAAUCACUAGAGGACUCUGUUGUGCAUUCUGACUCUAGAUCCCUUGCCACUCUUCUCCUUAUACGAGAUAUACAGGUAACUGUAAUUGCUGCAUCCUACAAGACAUGUCACGCGAUAAAAUAAAAGGCUUACAUAAUUGCUUAUCAAAACCUGUGAUAAUAUCUUGCUUGUUCUAGAGUGCAGUCCUUUAGAAAGGGGAAACAUGUUUGGGCCCACACUAUAGUUGGUCGAAUGAUGCAAACGAUCCAUUAAUAAGUUCCCUUAAGGAAUCACCCUUGGAUUUUUAAUUUUUAGUUUUUUACUGUAGUUUUUUAAAUAUUUUGAAAUGUGAUGUGUUGGUAAGUAAUCAUCUAAUUCAUCUUCUAUUGCGUGCCAAGAGGUCAUAAAAAGGGGUGGAUGGUUAUCCUACCACUUCCACUCGUACAGUGUCUGAGUUUUUUCACUCCUGUUUGCUUGAUCAAUCACCAAUAAAAAAAAGUUUAUUGCUCCUGCUUGCUUAAUGAAUCCCUAUAAAAAAACUGUUGAAGCAUUAAUGCAUUAUCAUAAUAUUGAUAAAGUUUGAUUACUAAACAAUGAUAUUCUUUUGUUUUGGAUUGUAGUCAAAGCGUCUUCCUUACAAAGAAACAAAGCCAACUUCCUUACGGUUAUCUGCAUUUUCGCAUAGCUCUUGGAUUUGUGAAAUGCAGCAAGCUUCUGACAAAUCGAUAAUAAUAAGUGAAAUUCUGGAUUCUAGGACUAGAAACCUGGUCUCUGUUUCCAGAAUCAGUGAUUAUGUGCUGUCAAAUGAACUUGUUAGUAUGGCUCUGGCAAUGGUUGCUGAAGAUAAGCAGAUAAAUCGUGUUCUUGAAGAGCUAUUUGCGGAGGAGGUACUCUCCAGUCUUUCUGGAAUUGAUUUUAUACGAACAUGCUGUGGUAGUUUAUAUGUGCAUUAGGAAAACAGAAAAAACAAAUGAGGACGCAGUGUAAGUUUUGUAGGCUUUGGAUAGAUCAAUAUGGACAAGUUGAAAUUAAGAACUGAAACUUUAUAGGCUUGGAUUAUUGUGGUUGAAUGCAGGGGAACGAGAUGUGCAUAAAACCGGCUGAACUCUAUUUAUACGACCAGGAAGAGCUCUGCUUUUAUGAUAUAAUGCUUAGGGGUCGUCAAAGGCGGGAAGUUGUGAUUGGAUUUCGCCUUGCAAAUACAGAGAGGGCCAUAAUCAACCCAUCACAGAAAUCAGCAGUACGGAAAUGGUCUCACGAUGAUGUUUUUGUGGUCAUCUCCAUAAGUGAAUGAAAUGUCAUUUUUCGCAUGUAUUAAAUGGAGUACGGGUGUCAUCUGGACCUACCUGUUUGUCACUUCCCAACUUGAUACAGCAACUGAUUUAAUGAAUUCAAGGGUCUAGUCAUUGGCUUACUAUACUGGAAACGAAUGUUCUGGAUUCAUGGGGGAAGAGAUUUGUCGUUGUGCAGUGCCUGUUCAUAUUGAACAACAUGGUGUCAUCUCCCACUCGAGUUCUUUGUAGAUAGUCAGAAUGUCUAGUUGCUUAUAUGGAAAAGGGAUAUCUGCAUUGUAACUUAAAAUCAGAAUAUCUAGUUGCUUAUAUGGUGCAACCUGCAAGCAAUCCUUGUAGUUGAACAAUUCUGUCUAGCAUGACAGAUUGACAGAUUCUGUAUCUGUCAAUUUGUAUCGACAGCAUGUUCGUAUCGACAGCAUGUUGUUAACUAAGAUUUUUUUUUUUUUAAGGUAAGAAUGAGGCCAAAGGCCCAGAACAAAGAAACUACAAAUAGAAACUAACCAGUACUACUGGUUCUAAAACUUCCACACCUAACAACUCCCACAAUAUCAUCAAGGAGAGCUUAGCAGGGGGCUCAUGGAGAUAACAGAUGACUUGAGCAUUGAGAGUACUGUUCUUGGCCAGCAAAUCAACAACCAUAUUCCGCUCACGGUGAACAUGCUUAACAUGGACUGAGGCAAAAUGUUGAAGCAUAGACCUGCAAUUUGCCACAAUGGUGCCCAGAGGGUGAUACUCACUCUCAUAAUUUUGCAGAAGAUUGAUGAGAACAGCAGAAUCUGACUCCACUUUGGAAAUCUGACCAGCAAUAAUCCAAGGCCCUCCACAUAAAACCUCAUUCAUGUCAUCUUCUAGAUUAAACUUGACAAUGAAAUAAUAAUUAGGCAAGUCCACAAGUUGCCAACCUCCUUUAGUCUGCCAUUUGCGUCUUCUUAAGAAUGAAAUCAAAAGUAUUUGUAGAGUUAGGCCAUCCAAAAUCCAGUUUGUUAUGGACCUUCUCAGAAAAGCAGACCUUCAAACCAUGCUUGCCUUGAGAGUAGCAUCAUAGAAAUUGAAGUCCUCCAUCAUCGUUGUUUGAAAUCGGUCAACAAGAUUCUUGAGCAUAGAUGCGUAGCUCAGAGAUGGUAGAGACUGAGGAGGUUGAACACAGCAAGAAUCCAAUUCCUCCGUACGUAAAUUUUCUAGAUCUGAAGAAAUAUCGUUUCCAGAUUUGGUACGUUUGCGCUGUAACAUUGAAGUAUCAGAAACUCUGCCGCUUCCGAGUGGAAGGGCAGAGAACAUGAAGACCGACGUCGCCACCACUUCAGAAAAGAAGACCAAGGAAUUCGCUGGAAAACGAAGGAAGAAUUAGGCCAAUCGAUGCAAUCAGUAGGGUUCUCUCUGUUUCGCUGGGCUCUCGAACAAGGACGAGAUGUUAACUAAGAUUUUUGUAACAAUCAACACCUAAUUUAUAUUUUUUAACAAUUCUGUCAUUUAAAAUGAUGAUUGUGAUAGUCUGCUCUAGAUAAUUGAGAGUUUAUGAAAAAUCAGUUAAAUUAUUUAAGUUGAUUAUUUGAUGAUGAUAAUAAUAAUAAUAAUAAUAAUAAUAAUAAUAGAAAAAGAAGAAGACAAAAACUACGGUUGCAGUUUUACAAAAGCGGAGAUGGGUUUGAUUAUCUGUGAGUAUAUCGGUAUAGCCAAGAAUAAGAGCAACGCGCACUCAAUACUUUUUUUUUUGGAUACAUGGGGCCAAAGGCCCAAACAAAGGAACAACAGAUGUUGAGGAUGAAAAUCUGGUUAGGGGCUAAAAAGGAAUGCGCACAGAGAGAUCCAUGCAAAUUGGGAUUUAUCCGUCAAGAGAUUGUUCACUAGACCUACGAAGCGAACAAAGAGGUUGAGGGAAUGUCCGGAUUGCUCCGGACAAUUGCCCUCUAACGCUCAAGUUAGACAUCUUAGUAGACAAUUUGUAACUCAAAAUGGGGGAAUGAGUUAGUUACCUUUAUUUGUGAGGCUAGAUGCCUAUUUAUAGAGGUUGAGCGAGGUAGAUUAUCUUCAUGGCUGUUGACAGCCUGGCACGAAAGGAAUCUUCUAGAAGCGUGCAUAGAAUCGAGGCGCACACGUGCGUCCACGUGUCCGGUUGGGAUGCGUUCUGGGGUAAGUUUAUGAUAUGAGAACGCACACGCAAGGCUAAUUAAAGCGCUUGGCAUUGGUUCCCUCCACAAGUCCCCCAAAUUCCCAGGUAAGGAUAAUGACUUGGUUGGAGAUAAUACAGAUGCAGCAAUAUAUUAUACAAUAAUACUAUUACAAAAAAAUUAAAAUAAAAUAAAAAAACAGAACAACAUAUUUCAGAGCAAAAAUAUUGAGGAAUGUACAACAAACAAUGAGCAAUAUUGUAGCCAAAUUUGAAAAGGAAAAAAAAAAAACUUUACCCAGCAUUUGAUAUUAUUGAUGUUGAGGAGAAGCUAAAUAUGAACUGAACCCUCAGGGCUAACCCAAAACUGAAUCCUUGAUUUCCUGCAAAACAAAGCAAAUGGAAAUAUCAAGCAAACCAAACAUCCAACACAUUAGACUGUAGAAAAAGAAUCCAAUUCAUUUCAAAUCAAUACGCACGUCAUUACCUAUGUUCAUCAAUCAUGAACAACUCAUAGUACAAAUACAUACCCUUAAUGAAUGCAAUCAAGGCUAUAAUAUUGAAUGCUACCGAUAUGGAAUAAUUAUAUUUACAUAAUUGACUUCCAAAAAAAAAAGGUUCUUCAUAGGAAAGCACAUGUUCUUGCAUUAAACUUUAAAAUGAGAGUGUCCCAUCUUGUUUCUAGUACACAUGAGGCAUUGGAGGUGAGGCAACCUGCAUCCAAAUUUUAGUAAAGCAGAGUUAGAAUAUGAACCCAAUUUUCAUCAAGUUCAUGCUCAUAUUCCAUCAGCCAAAAUGAAUUACACAUAUCUUAAAACACCCAACAGACUAAAAUGCAGUACAGAUGUACAGAGUGUCAAACACAAAGCAAGAGGGCAUCUGAUAUUCAUAAGUUCAUAAGUGCAUUCUAAAGACAUCAUAAAAUGCAUCAUUCAGGGUUAGUUUUGUAUAAAGAUCCAAACUUUAACACAUACAAAUGGAUUCUAACAAAAAAAGUUUACAUUAGCCUAAAAGGAAAAAACAUGAAAAAGGAGUUGUGAUAACAACAUCUGGUGGACAUCAAUGAAGUAAGCUGAAACAUCAAUAUGCAGCUUAAAUUUUAGAAGCUUAUGAAAUACAACAUUAGUAAGUGUAACCUGUCAGGGAAAAACCUUGAGAAGUCAUCACAUGUGGGACUAUCUCUAGCCAGGUUGUUAUGAGACACAUUCUGCAAGAAAUCAAUUUCAUGUUAGAAAAACUGAAUAAUACAUGGGCAAUCUUAUAUCAGACAGCGCUAAACAUAAAUUGAAAUCAAAAUAUUCAGAAACAAUUACUCACAGCAUUGCAAGACUAAGGCAAGAGAUCAGUGACAUCAAUUCCCUUGAUAUUUUGUUGUGCUCUAACAACCUGCAAUAAUUUUCAUCAGUGGCAACAUUAUCAAAACGAAAAUGUCAAGUCUCAGUACGUAAAUAUCCUAAACUUUGGAGCACAAUAUACACUAUGUGUCCCCGCGCGCUGCCGCUGGUUAAGAUCGACAAUUCAUAUAACAGUAAUAAUACACAAAAAUAUAAGCAGUACGUACUAAGUAGUUGUUGUUGUGAUAUCAAUGUCUGUUACAGUAGAUUAAAUCUUUGCCCAUCACAAAUGGAUGUUAAAAUACACAAUAUAGAUAAAAGGUAGAUAACUGUACUCUACAUCUUCAGAAUCCAACACCGCUGUAAUUAUGUACAAAAUUCUGGAGCUUUUUCGCGAUGGGUCUUCAUAUUUUGGUUUCUGAAUCGCAUUCCUCUUGUGAGUUAUGAUACUGAUAUUAUAUAUUUUUCUUUCCUUGGCUGUUCAAAAUUUGGACACCAAUUCAUUUUUAUUGACUCAUCAGAUCAAACCAAAAUUGUUGCAAGUUUGGGCAAUAGUUCUAUCAUGUUCAGACAAGAAUCAUGGUGUCAUCCUAUUACUAGAAGCCACAAGAACUCAUAGAAAGCAUCCUGAAGUGUAUGCCCUAUUGAAGGUUGUCACGUCCCAGCUCAAACUAAUAGCAAACAAUACAAAUUCGAAUGGGUAAAGGACAUGAAAGUACGAACUUCAGAGCCUCUUUACCUCGACUUUCGUCGUUGAUCGAUCAAGCAAUAGCCACAGCGCAGCUCGCGCCGUCUAGGCUGUUCAAUAGCCACCAAUACAACGAUCCGAGGUGACCGUCAAGGCGGUUCAAACGAAACGGAAGAUCAUGUCAGGCCGGUGCAUCCGGGUUCUUCAAUCGGGUCACGAGCCCUGAUACUUGCAUUUCAUGAUUCAGAAGGGAAGAACUUGCCUCACAUCUCGAAUUCAAUUCAAAUAUCUGGGUUGAUAAUUCAGACUUCAAAGGAAUCAGAAAAAAGAAAGGGAGAGAUUCUCCUCCCCCCGUGCUUAUCCUUUCCUCUUUUCUUAUAUAAACCCAAAUGGACGUUUUAGAUUAAACGGUGGAGGUGUAUAGACCAGAUUGAACCAUGCUUAUUUUAUUUUUAUUUUCUUUCUCUAAUAUAUCUAUAAUUAAAUCAUAGUACACAUGAUUUCACUUAAAGGAGGAUCUUACAUCAUCUAAAAUCACGAAAAGUUACUCUCGAGCACAAUUUAGAUUCUGAGAUCGUCAAAUGCUCCUCAAGCAGUCUCAACUGAGCUAGACUAAUAUAUAGUUUAUGUUACUAACUAAUGUCGGGAUGUUAUAUACUCACCCCCUUAAAGAAAAUUUCAUCCUCGAAAUUUAUAACGGGUUGGUAACAAAUUAACAAACAUAUAAUCGGAUAUUAGCGAAUAAUACGUCUACAUUUAACAAGCAAGCAUAUUGGUUUUAACAUAUUGUGCAUUUAGUACUUUGCUGCAAGACACAACAGUUGUAAACAAAAAGAAAAUUAAACAAAAACGAAAUAAAGUCUCAAUUCGUAUCACAAUGUCACGUGGAGUUUUUCUCGAUUCAUAACUCUCAAGGUUGAACACAUACACAUCACACGAUAAUUCAGAAUUUGUCAUGAGAUAGGAUUGAGUCUCUUUCGAACUUCAAAGUUACAUAUCAACACUUUCUACUCCACAUCUCAUAAGUUCGUACCUUAUUCACAACAUAUAUGAUCGAGUACAUACACAUCAUCACACAAUUUUAACGAAUCAAAAUCUAAACAAAAGUGAGAUCACAUCUCCACAUAACAUAUCACAGAUCAGAAAUCUGUCUAGUUCGCAGUUGAUCAUGCAAAAUUUCAAACUUCAAACACUUGCACAUAUCCUCUUCUUCUUUUUUUCUUUGUCUUUUUUUAACUCAAACAAGGGAAGAACAUUUUCACAAAGUACUGAUAGGAACACUCACAUCCAUAUCCUUAUUCUCAACUGAAAAAGGGAGAGCCAUUUCAUGAAAUAUAGAUCAAAACACAUAUACACGUCCCUAUUCAAAACUGAACAAGGGAGUGCCAUUAACAAAGUACGGAUCGAAACACAUAUACACGUCCAUGUUCACAACUGAGUAAAGGAGUGUCAUUUCAGAAUACUGAUCGAAACACAUAUACACAUCCCUAUUCACAACUGAAAAAGGGAGUGUCAUUUCACAUAAUGCAUAUCAGAAACAUACCACAUCAUUCCCCUGUGGAUGAGGCCCACACUAACCCCUGUGGCCGAGGUCCACACUCUUCCCUUGUGGAUAGGGUCCACACUAACCCCUGUGGCCGAGGUCCACACUCUUCCCUUGUGGAUAGGGCCCACACUAACCUCUGUGGCCGAGGUCCACACUCUUCCCUUGUGGAUAGGGUCCACACUAACCCUGUGGCCGAGGAAUACAAAAAGAUCUCAUAACAGAAACGACAUAUAUACCACAAAUAUAUUCAUCAACAAGCAUCUAACUUCAGAAUUUGGUCACGAUUAAUCCACACUCCAUAGAAAUUCACCAUAAUCUCUAAAUCAGUAGUACACAUAUAGAAGUUCAUGAGCACAAAGUUUCAAACCAAUUCUGAAUUUUAAUUCCCACUCAAAUUCGAAUUCAAACCGGUGCACUACAUAACAAGAACACAAUUUCAGAACAGAGCACUCAACCUCAGAAAAUCAUCACAAUUCACCUACCCUAUCAAAUAAUACCAAACUUUCCAGAUCAAAAGUUCACAUAUAGAAGAACAUGAUUACAAAGUUUCAGACCAAAUAGAGUCCUAAAUCCUGAUCAAAUUUAGACUCAAAACUGCUACACUGCAAAUAUCAAUACAAUUUUCAGCAUCAAGCACUUAGCUUUGGAAAAUCAACAUAAUUUAUCUACCUUACCAAAUAACACCAAACUUUACAGAUCAGUGGUACACAUAAAGAAAAACAACUCCACAAAAUUUCAAACCAAACCAAAUCCUGAAGCCCAAUCAAAUUCGAAUUCGAAACAGUAACACUACAUAACACAACUACAAAUUCUGAACGGAGCACUUAAAUUCAGAAAAUCACCACAACUCAUCUAUUUUAUCAAAACACACCAAAAUUUCCAGAUCAAUAGUAAUCACAUGGAAGAAUAAGGGUACAAAAUUUCAAGUCAAACGGAAUCCUGAAUCCUAACCAAAGUCAAGCUCCAAAACAGUUCAGACAAUAUAUUGAACAUAUACUAAUCUUUCUAUUCUAAUCCUUGAGUUUACUCUCUCUUUUCUAACCCAAAAACUUCAGACCGAAAACUACUUCAGAUAUAUGCAAAGACACACUUCAAGUUUAGAAGACUUCAAUCUAUUGUCUAUCAGCAUAAAUUCCAAAAGAUUUAAGCCAAACUAAUUUGUAAUAAACUUACCUGAAGAAAAUGAUUGCAGCUUCAGCUAUUUCUAAGACGAGACAAGACGUAUGAUAUGAAACCUCCCUUUCUUGCAUCUUCUUUUCCCUUCUAUGGUUCUCAGUGAUCACAUGUAGUUACAUAAAUGAAUAAAUAUGAUAAUCAAUGAUACCAGAUUGACAUCACCUUACAUUAACCAACACAUUCUCUCUAAAAUAUGGUUACUAACUUUUUGAAGCCCUUAAACUUAUUUUCCAAAACAUACACAGCUAUACAUACGCACAUAUAGUUGGUGAGUAAAAAGGCAGACAUAAAAAUUUAUAUCUGAAGCUAUAGAAUAAUAAUCUGAUAUACUAGAAUAUGUAUAUGAGUCCUUUAAGCUAGCAGCCCUUUCAUACUUCUAUUUUCCCUUGCAUGAUCCAACAUUCCAACCUCUCAAAUCAACAAACCGAUUCUCUUUCAUAGCACUAAUCUGCCUUCAAAAUAAUAAGCAAGUUACCGAUCAUCACUCAUUCAAUUAAUCCCACUGAGUAACACAUCGUUCAUAAAACCCAAAAACACAAGAGUGCCACUUUCAAAUUUGAACAAAGAAAAGAAAAGCCUCAAAAUUCCCCAAAAGAAAAAAUCAAUGCGCUAAGCCAUCACCAUGAAGAAAAAGAAAAAUAGAAGAUCAUAAACCAAAUAUACAAACACAGCGACUCACCCUCAUCUUCUCCAACACCACAUGCAACUAAGAAACAUCAAACACCAACUUGUAAUCAAAACCACUUAAAAGUCUAGACCUUGACCGAUCACAAUUCACAAUAAUCAGUAUCAAGCUCUUACGAUCAUGAAAUUGAAAGUCCAAUCCGUUCCUCCCCAACAAUUUAUACCCUGGCAAUCAUAUCCCUGCUCUGAUACCAUUUGUCACAUCCCAGCCCAAACUAAUAGCAAACAAUACAAAUUCGAAUGGGUAAAGGACAUGAAAGUACGAACUUCGGAGCCUCUUUACCUCGGCUUUCGUCGUUGAUCGAUCAAGCAAUAGCCACAGCGCAGCUCGCACCGUCUAGGCUGUUCAAUAGCCACCAAUACAACGAUCCGAGGUGACCGUCAAGGCGGUUCAAACGAAACGGAAGAUCAUGUCAGGCCGGUGCAUCCGGGUUCUUCAAUCGGGUCACGAGCCCUGAUACUUGCAUUUCAUGAUUCAGAAGGGAAGAACUUGCCUCACAUCUCGAAUUCAAUUCAAAUAUCUGGGUUGAUAAUUCAGACUUCAAAGGAAUCAGAAAAAAGAAAGGGAGAGAUUCUCCUCCCCCCGUGCUUAUCCUUUCCUCUUUUCUUGUAUAAACCCAAAUGGACGUUUUAGAUUAAACGGUGGAGGUGUAUGGACCAGAUUGAACCAUGCUUAUUUUAUUUUUAUUUUCUUUCUCUAAUAUUUUUAUCAUUAAAUCAUAAUACACGAUGGAGACAUGAAUUCACUUUAAAACAAGGAUCUUACAUUAUCUAAGAGCAUCUCCAGUAAUAGAGUUAAAUUUAUUACUAAAUUUGUCAACAUUUAGAUUUAAAAUAGUAAUUUUUGAACUUUUGCUCCAGCAGUAUUACUAAAUUAUAUACAUUAGCUAAGUUUUAGUUAAUUGUCUCCCAAAAAUUGAUAAUUUAUCAAUUUUCUCUAUCAACUUCUUAAGUAUACUGCUGGAGCAAAGAUUCAUUUAAAAAUUGAUAAAUCUCUAAUUUUUUUCAAUUUAUCAAUGCUGCUGGAGAUGCUCUAAAAUCAUGAAAGCACAUUUUAAAUUCUGAGAUCGUCAAAUGCUCCUCAAGCAGUCUCAACUUAGCUAGACGAAUAUAUAGUUUAUGUUACUAACUAAUGUCAGGAUGUUAUAAAGGUAAUUGAACACACAAUUUUUUCCUACGUCUCUCUAAUUAAUCUUAUCUUUCCACCAAGAACCAUUGAUUUAUCAUUACGUUAAAUUUAUUUAUUUUUUGUGAAAUUUCUAUCCUAAUUGUUGUUAUUUAUUACAUAUUGGACAUGUAAUUCACUGGUUUGUAUACACAAGGAGUUUCUGGGUUUCGGCUCUUCUCAACUCUCAGUCUCAUCAUGGGCAUCUGCUUUUGUUUUAAUUUUUGAGGAAGACUGUAUAUUUAGAUUCAUUAGUAGCAUUGCCUUUGGGACAGUUGGUUAAGUAGGUUUUUUGUUCUAGUCAUGAUCUAUUUUUUUGAGGAGAAAGUCAUGAUCUAUUAUAAAUUGAGAGAUUUAUGAAUAAUUUUGGUGUUAAACAAGAGUCCGGAUUGUGUUUUUACUGUUUUAUGAUGAAGUGUUAAAUUUAUUCACCAACUGUGACGGUUUGUGUGUCUAAGACCAUCUCCCAUCAUAGGCUAAAAAGCCAAAUUUAGCCUAUAGUUACUCCCACCAUAAGCCAAAUUACAAUUCCCAAGGUAAAAAAUUUAGCUUGAGCUAUUUUGUAAGCCAAAUUUGGCUUAUGAAAUUUGUAGGCUAAAACUAAGUAUUAUUUUAUUCAAACUUUAGAUUUUGUUCUUCUAAUUUCACUAGCAUCUAAAUUGAAAAUUCGUUACUAACAAAAUUUUAUACCAUUGUGACGAUCUCGACGAGAUAUUUCAUAUGAGUCCCAUAUCGAAUAUAUUUAUAUAAAAAAAAAUUUCAUGAUUAAUUAUUGAAUUAAACAAAUAAAUGAUAAAAUAAAAAUAAAUUGAUUUAUCUAAGGAUUUAGCUUACUGUAGGAGUGCUUCUUUAGGCCAAAAUACUAUUAAUUUGGCUAAAAAUUUUGCUUAUAGUGAGUUAUGGUGAGAGAAUUUAGUAAGUUAAAAACAGAUUUUAUAGAAUAUUCUUAUUUUGUAAGCUAAAUUUAGCUUAAAAUUUGGCUUACAGCUCUAGGUGUGUAAUUGCCUGCAUGGAUACCCAUUCAAAAAUUUGAUUUUUUUUUUUUUUUAAUUUCUAUGGAGUCACCAUUCAGUUCAAGGACCCACAAUUAUUUACUCACCAAAAAACCGAUAGUGACUUUGUUUGGUUAGCCAAGCCAGCGAAAGGGACCAACAGCAAUAUUAGUCACUAAAGCCGUGUCUAUUAAUUAUCCCCACUAAUCAAUUGUGUCCUUUGAUCCAACACACACCAUUUUUAAUAGCCCACUUCUAUGGUAGUGAAAACUGACAUCCUUGGAUAAAAAAAUAAAAAUAAUAAAAAAAAUAAAAUCUUACCAAAACAACUUUAAAUAAUAUAUUAAAGGUAUUAAACGAUUUACAGAAAAAAAUAAACAUAUUAUUAGGGGUAAUAAAUAUUGAGAAAUCCAUUAAUAAAGUUUAUAAAAGGUAACUCAUAAGCCACAAACAUGAAGCACGUACAGUAAACCUUGUAUUUCUUACCACAACCACGUACAGUAACUCAAAAGCCACAAACAUGAAGCACCACGAGUACCUCUCCCUCCUCCUCCUCUUCCUGCUCUUUCUUCACGUGGACGACAAAACGGGCCUUCUUGCCUUCAACUCAGGCAUCACGACUCAACGGUAACGACGGCGGACGAGACUAUUGUUGUUGUUUCGGCUUCGGCGUAGAGUCGACGGCAACGACGGUAAUAACAGAGUAAUCGACGUCGUGGAUGACGAUGUUAUUGGUGACGUAGACGUCGGGACGCGAGAGUUGGUCUUGAAGAGGCUGAGAUCAGCAUAAGUGAGGUGCUGAGGGACGACGUGAUAAGGCAAGAAGAUCUGGUUGGCGAUGGGAAGGCACGAAACGGCAGCGUUUUCAGACAUGUGUGGUGUCGUGUUAAUUUCUUGCGUUUAGAUUGAUUUUCUUUAUUUGCACCCCGAGUAAAUAUACCUGACCAACAAAAAGCAGUUACCUGAUAUUAAUCAUAAUCAUAGUAUGAAUGUGGUAAGAUCCAAGACUAAAAUUUCGACAAUCGAUGAUAUUUUGAUUCUCUAACAAAUAGAUUUUUCAAAGAAAAUAUUGAGAAAUAUUGAUAGGGGCAAAAUUUUGAAAGGAAAGUAAAAAUUAUGUGAAAAUAUAUACACUGGUUUUUUGAUACUUAUAUACUAAAAUGUUCUUCAUGCUAACCAAAUAUCACUUCAGUAGAGUUGGUUGGGGGAGUUUGAACAUGGGGUUGCUACGGUUUGAUUCCCCUCACAUGCGCUUUGACUUUUAUUCCAAUUUUUCACAUAUGGGCCGAGUUGAUGUGAGUUGGGUCGAACUAAUGAUAUAAUCUUGUGUGUUUCGGCAAAAUAUCGAAAUUUUCUCACGAUAUUCAGUUGAUAAGCAAAGAUAAUAUCGGAUGAUGAGAAAAACGAUAUUCUCGGCGAAAUAUCGCUGAAAAUCCCGAUUUUAAAGACCAUGGGUAAGAUCCGGAUCAAGCUCGAGGGGGUCCAGAUCGAGAUGCAUACUUGUGCCAGUUGUGUGUUGUGAGGGAUGGGGAUGGAAUAUUUAUAUUUAAGAAAGAACACGGUGAAACACGGAUAUGUUUUAUUCAGUACUUCUCAACAACCAACCAGUCUCUGAAUCCGAGAAACAGAACCAAAUUCGAAAACAAACAAGAUUGUCUCGAAAAAGGAAGUAGAAAGAAGGGUGUUGCACAGGCAGCCUAAUUGAACCAAAUACAAAUUCAAAUGCAAAUUCAAAGGGAACCACAAACGGACCCAGCAACAGCUUAAUCAGCUAGCUACGAGGGGGGGGGGGGGGGGUGGAGGGAGGGAGUACAUUACAUUACAUGCAUUGGAUAUAAGAGAUGGAUGGGUGUGGGCGGAUGAUGAAACAUAUGAUUUUUGAGUAACACAAAUGAAUUAGUAGCCUGCAGGCUUGUAGGCGAUGAAACUGAUGCACUGAACUUGACGGACAUUGUCGAAUCCGAUGAUACGGAUGAAAGCAUUUGGAUAAGCCUUCUUGGCCUCCUCGAGCUCCUUCAACACUUGGGAAGCGUCGGUGCAUCCGAACAUGGGCAACUUCCACAUGGUCCAGUAGCGGCCGUCGUAGUAUCCCGGUGACUUGUGGUUCUCACGGUACACGAAUCCUUUCUAUAUAUACACAAUUACAGUUACAGAGCACCACCGGUACCAAUAAUCAGUAGUUAAACAAGUACAAUUAAUUUAACUUGAGUAAAAAUUAUAUUAGUGAAAAAAUAACUAAUUAAUACCUCCAACUCAAAUUCCAAGCAGGGAACCCAUUUGUUGCGGAGAAGGAAAUCAACUUCCUUGGCCAAGGACUCGGAAGUAAGCGGUGGAAGGUAGGACAGCGUCUCGAACUUCUUCAAACCAACUGGAGGCCACACCUAUACAGAAUAUAUAAUCGGAGUCGAUCAAUUAGUAAGGUAGGAUACCUAGCAAGUAAUUAAGCUUCACGCUAGUAAGUGGAAAUUAAACUAUAUAUAUACGAUGGUGAAUUAAUUCACCUGCAUGCAUUGCACUCUUCCGCCAUUGCUUGGGAG